UUUUUGCAGGAAGGAAAGGUGGUGGUGGUGGUGGUUCAGAUGGAGGUAAUGAGCAAAACUUUUAUACUUAUUUUUAUUCAAAUGAUUUGAUUUAGUUUAAAUGUUUUAGAAAAAAAUUUAAAUUACAUUGUUAUUUUUUAUAUGAUUAUUUUUUUUUUAUGAAGUAAUUUGCAUAUCUUAUUUGAUAAGCCAACUAAGAAAGAAAUAAAAUAUUCUGAGACGCAAUCCACAUGAAAAAAAUCACUAGUUAAGUCAGUGUUAACAUUUCUCUUCUAGUUAACAUUUCAAUGUUUCUGACAUUAAAUAUGUUACCACUGACAGAACCAUUGUUUCUCUUGUGGAUGGUGUCUCAGAACCAUUUCUUCUGUUUUGCUAUCCCAACAAAUCUUCUAUGCUUAUUUAUAGUCUUUCAUCACUACUUCAGCAAGUGCAGUGGAAAUUCUAUUUCACUAAGACCAUCUCCUGAGUUAUCUCCCUUACUUGCUGACCCCCCCCCCCUUAUAAAUAUUAGCAACUGAACUGAUAUUGAUUUUUUUUUCUUUUUGCAUAAUUAUUUCUAAUUAGCUUUUUAAUACUAAUUAGCUUUGCUUUAUUGAAUAACUUAAAAUCAACCUAAUAUGUAGUUAGCUCUAACUGAUUAUAUGCCAUACAUUUUCAAUUAAAAAUUUAAUGUUCGUUUUACAGAGAUCUGUUUUUCUCUGUCUUAAUAUGUAACCCAGUUUAAUAUGUUCUCCUGGUCCUUGAGCGCCUUUAGAAGGGCCCAUGCUGUUUCAAACAAUCUAGCCAGAUUUCCCAUUUUCAGAUUAUUUUCUCACUUCCAUCAAAUAAAAAGCAUCAUAGCUACUGUCCUUUCUACUCUGACUCAGUCAUUUAUAAUAACAGAAAAUGUCACUUUGAUAAACAAUACAGAAAGAAGUAAAAUCACUACACCAGAACAUUGUCAUUCUUUUGUUUUUGCUUUUUUAUCCUGCUUCGUUUUUUUUUUUUUUUUUCGGAAAACAGUCAUCACUGUAAACUCAUCUUGAAUAAAUACAUAUAUAUAUAUACAGUCGAAGAAUGUUCUAACUUCAAGACAUAGCAUUUUAGUAUAUGAAGAUGUUGAGUUAGAAAACCAAAAGUCUGUAAUUAUUUUCUCUGAAAUGAUUUAUCAUCACCAUCAAUUUUUAGCAAUUUAUCAAAGAGAGAUUAUAUGUAUUCCAGGCUAUUCUAGAUAUGAAACCAAACAGCAAUCGUUAACUUUUCUUUUGAUUUAGGAACAAUAUAACUUUCACUUUCUUAUAUGUCUCUGAAAUAUUAGAUGUCUAGCCAAUUUAUAUUAGAAAUACUGAUUAUAGUAGUUAAGUAGUAUUGGUACUAAGCUGUUUGACUGCUUGGGAAAAACCAUUCAAGUGAAAUCUGUUAUUAAUAUCAACUUAAAAGCAACUCGAAAUACCAGGCAGCCAACUCUCUCUCUCUCUCUCUCUCUCAUAUCAAACCCUAUUAUCUUAAGAAAAGAAAAAUACAUUGGAUAAUGUAGCCCUGUUCUAUCUAUAAGACAGGAUGGUCAGAAGCCAAAUGGUAGUGCUGAACUAGGGUCAAACAACAACUUUAAUGAGCUGACAAGUUAUCACACCAAUCUUUUAACCUGCUAAAUAUCUUUCAAAUUACACUUUGCCAUCUUGAGAAAGAUUCUUGAAAACCAAGACAAAAUAUUCUGUACUCAGAGUUCAAAUAUCCCUGAAGUCAACUUUGCGUUUCAUCCUUUUGGGGUCAAUAAAGUACCAAACCCUGACAGAGGAUUGACUGAGUAUGGAUGAGAUACUUUCUUUGCUUAAGCCCUAAACUCCCUAUGGGGCAUCAACAACUUUUCCCUAUUGCUCUCGUGUUUUCUGCUUCUUUCCAGCGGGAUCUCUGCUUUAUUAGCUCUGUUUCAGUAACUUGCCUCCAGCUAUUUUUAGAACCUCACUUGUGCCACCCUCGUGGGUUCCAGGUCAGGACUUGACAGGUCAUGUUUCCCUGAGAAAUGCCUUCCCCUCCCAAUUCUUAUAAUUUUUUGAAUUGUCAUCAAUACUUCUAUUAUGUUGUUUUUUUUUCUAAUUAGGAAUGUUGGUUCUAUGCAAACUCGUUUUCACCUCUGAAAGAAGUGGUCCUUAUUGGACUGGCCCCUAUCCAUUGAUCUGUCCAACAUGGGAGGCCCAUCCAGGAGCUUAUGCUUUAUUGACAUAGCUCUCAGAAUUAUGAGGUGCACAAGCUCCACCCACCCACUGUGUGGUGGACCAGUUAAGGUACCUUGUGGUAUUUGUUUUGGCUACUUUGGUUCUGAGUUCUUGGUUGGUAGACUUAAUUUGUUGCUCAGUUUAGCACCACUGUCUAAUUCUUAAGUAUCUCUUGUAGAUUGCCUUCUGUUACAAGAAUUCAGGCUUAGGCUCUAGUUUAAGGAUAACUUCCUCACUUUUUCGUACCAAUCUCAAAGACCCUUAAAAAACAAAAGGUCAUGGAUUGCAUCUGUCAUAGGUCUACCCAUUUACAGUUGAAUUGGAGCUAAACAUCAGAAAUAUCAGAUUAAAUCCAGACAAUCUCUGGUUAAUAUAAACCUAGAUAACUAUGGAUGGGUUUUCAUGGCUGGCUACCCUCUGAUCAUAGCUUUGUUCAAUCAAGUUUGUCCUGUGUGAUAAACAACAAUAUCAAUAAUAACAAGCGAAACCAAGACAGCUGCUGCUGUAUAAAAGGUUCUUACACAAAUACUCUGAUGACAAAUAUUUUUAGAUGAACAAAAGAAACUGAAAUAUUGAAAUGAAAGAUUGUUGCCAAAGUUGAAAUCAGACCUGAAAUCCUUUUGGCAUUUAUGAGGUUGCCCUUAAUUUAACUUAUCCAUUCAAAUUCUUCAUGUUCCAUCUAAUUGAGCUUAUUUUCCUUUGCUCAUUUUAGUUUUAAUUAUGCAAAGUGUAGUUAUGGCUGUGUGGUAAGAAACCUGGUUCUUAACUGCAUGGUUCCAGGUCAUUCCCACCAAAUGGCAUCUUAGGUGUUUUUCUCUAUACCCCAGGGUAACGAAAGCCUUGUGGGUAGAUUUCGUAGAUGGGAACUGAAAGAUGCCCAUUGUGUGUGUUUGUGUGUGUGUGUGUGUGUGUGUGUGUGUGUGUGUGUGCAUGUGUGCAUGUGUGCUUGUGUUUGUCAUCCACUACCACUUGAGAACUGGUGUUUGUUUGUUUACAUCCCUGUAACUUAGUGGUUUGGCAAAAGAGACUGUGGGAAUAAGUGCCAGUAUUAAAAAUAAACACCAAGGUUGAUUUUUUCUCACCCAAACCCAUCAAGGCUGUGUCCCAGCAUGGCUAGCAUCCAAGUGAGCUGUUCUAUGCUGAUAAAGCCCAAUAGAUUAAAACAAGCCUCUAGUUGUCUCUUGCCUAAAAAUAAAGAUCAUAUUAUUCCCUCACAAAGCAUGAGAGAUUAAUUCUUCAUUUCUUGAAUUUCUCUCCCCUUUUCUUUCAGUAUCAUUUUUCUUUUACUUGUUUCAGUCAUUAGACUGCAGCCACUGCAGCUUAGACAAACAAAUCAACCCUCAGCACUUGUUAUAUUUUUUUAAAACCUGGUACUUAAUCUAGCAGUUUGUUGCUUUUUUGCUGAACCAUUAAGUUACAUGGCUGUAAACAAACAAACACUGGUUGUCAAACAGUGCAGGGAAGCAAACACAUGCACACACAUGCACCCAUACACAUGAUGGGCUUCGUUCAGUUUCCUUCUACCAAAUCUGCUCACGAGGCUUUGGUCAGUCCUAGGCACAAUUGCCCAAGAUAUCAAUAACAGUUGCACCUAGCUUGUAAGAUUUGGAGGGGGGGGGUUCUCCAAUAUAAAAUGCAAUUUCAAUUAAUUAUGAAUUAAUUUUGCUCCAACAACUAACAACUGAUGCCAGCAGUUUGUUCCAUGCUUCAGCAACACUUAGCAUAAAAAAAUGUUUCCUAAAGUCAUGGGAGCUGUGCUGUUUUCUGACAUUGUAGACAUGUCCACGAGUGUUAGACAGGUGGAGUUUGAAAAGGUGCUCAGAGUUAUUGUUAGUAAGGGUGAAAUAACUUCUACAGUUGUACCAAAGUAUAAACGGAAGUGUUAAAAACUGCUAUGUCACAGUGUAAAAUAACCACAUCACAGUGAAUAAUGAUUUAGUUUUGUGGCUGAAUCAUGUAGAAUGUAGAAGUCUUCAAAAGUAAAAAGAAAUUAAAAACCACAUGUUGAUAAAAAUAUACUAAAACUAGAUGUAUACAAAAUUUCUUCACAGUGUAGACUUUAAUAAUUGCUCUCUUCUAGUAAAAGUUGCAUACUCCAAAAUAAUUAAUAAGCAGCUUUCAUUAUUAUAAGAUAGAUUCAUACCAUUUGAAUUAUUUCCUUCAGUACAUUAAAUUUUUACUUCUUUUCUUUUGUACUUAAGCCAUCUUAUUGUUUUUGUUGAACCUCCCAUCCACCCCCACCCCCUGGUUAACCUUGGUUGAGUAAGGCUGUGAUUAAAGUCAUUAUAGCUAUCCUUAUCCUAUCAUUUUCCCGUAUUGUAUUUGGGUCUAUACUAUCCAAUGUGUAUAUCUUUUUCUUUUUAAAGAUGGUAAAGUGGGAUUUGGGGGAGAUCAGAAGCUGAUUGCUACUUUGUUUGUUAUUCUGUUGAUAUAUGAGGGGGUAUUGAAAAAUUCCUGGCUUUGGGUAAAAGAAAAUACAGGUCAGUCAAUUAUGAUUUUACUCAACAUAUUCCCCUCUCAGGUUUGCAUACUUAUUGCAGUGGUCCUUCAGUUUUUCUAAGCCCUAUAAAAGAACCCAGAAAGUUGGGCCUCCAGCCAGGCCUUUCGUGAUAUCCUUAAAGCCAGGAACUUUUCAGUACUCCAAUCAUUUCACUCCAAACCAGUUUUGAUCAAGUACACCUAUGAUCAAAUGCAUUCCAGCCAUGGUCAUUUUUAGUGUAUAUAAGUACAUUGUCCACUAUGUCAUUUGCCAUUGUUGUUUUAGCUCCUAGAUCAGACCUGAUCAAGAAGACUCAUGAUUAAAGGCAUUCCAGCUGUGACCAUCCUGUCUAUUUCCUAUACAGAAGGAAUCCAGGAAGCCACAUUAUCUAAUGUCUUUUUGUAAGACAGUAUGGUUUUAUUUGGUUGCUAUUCCUAGCAUGUCAAGCAACCACACAGGGGUUAUCUUGUCGCUAAUUAGUUAACUCUCUUUAAUGAUUUGUUGUUGUUAUUUAUAGUUGACAUGAAGUCAGUGAACCGGCUGAACCAUCCCUGCCCCAGCAUUUCUUCUGAGUUCAAGUCUUGCUGAUGUCAACUUUUCUUUUCAUCUUUUUUGGGGUUGAUUAAAUAAGUACCACUUGAACACUGGUGGCUGAUAUAAUUAACUAUUACUUUCCCCUUAUAAAAAUUGCUGAUUUAGUGCCAAAAUUUGAAACUGUUAUUUACAGUUUGCUUAGGAAUAUAAAAAUAUAUAAAUAUUUGUACUGCUGUCUUUUUAUUAUCAGUUGACAGUAUGCAUGCCCGCUCCAAGAUAACGUAUUUCUGAAACAGACAAUCAUCAAUAGUAUUAAAGUACAUUUUUUUCAAAAAAACCAUUUCAUGACUAGAUUCCAAAUGAGUAGAUAGCCUAUAUUUUUCUAUCAUUUUACAAUAUGAUAACAUUUUGAAGUGGUUUAAUAAAAUCUCUACAGCACCACAUAUGCUGGCAUCGACUAAACGGAGCCUCAUGAUGUCAUUUAUAUUAUAAUGAGAUUUUGAUCUAAAUACAAACACUUUAAUAUGGACACCUUCCAAGUUGUUGGUAUUAAAAGAGGUAAACAACCAAAUUACAGAUAAAAAUAAACAGCAUAUUAAUUUAAUGUUGACACUCUUUUUAUUCCUUAAUGACUUCAGAUAAUUAUUACAGGAAAUAAUAAUUCCUCUUUUCCCCUCCCUCUAUUUCUUUUCUCUGUUCACCUAUAUAGAAUGUGACUUUUCAGCUAUACACUUAGAUUUUCCUCAAGCCAAACACCCUCUAAUUUUUUUACACAAAUGCAUAAUCAACUAAAGCGCUAGAUUUUUGUUUCCGUUAUAUUCAAUUAUUUACCCACACACAAACAUAUGUACAUAUAUAUAUAUAUAUAUAUAUAUAUAUAUAUAUAUAAAACACAUAUGGAUACACAUGUGUGUGUAUAUAUAUAUAUAUAUAUAUAUAUAUAGGUGAGAUAUUUAUAUAUCUAUAUAUAUUUAUAUAUACGUGUGUGUGUAUAUAUAUAUAUAUAUAUACACACACACACACAUACAUACAUACAUACAUACAUUUAUACACAUACAGUUUAUGUAUAUUUAUUUUUAUAUACAAAUAUAUAUUUAUAUGUAUGUUUGUAUGUAUCUAGUUAGCUAAUUUUGUUGUUUGUUUUUCCCCUGUCUGUGUAAAAUCUAUUAAAAUAGCAACAAAACAUUUGUUUGUGUGAAAUAUUUGCACAUUUUCUUUUUCAGGUAUUGCAAUGACAUUUAUAGAUUUUACUAGAUUUUAAAUGAUUUAAGAGUGCAAGUAACUUCACAUAUAAUACAAGAAGAUGUUGAAAAUGUGUUGCUAGGAAACCUAUCAUCAAAUCAUUUGAAAGUACAUUAGUCUUCUAGGAAGAAUGUUUAGUUUCACUCUCACAUAAUUGGAUUCCUAUCAAUAUGUUGUUGAGUUGUAGUAAAUCAGAUAUUUUUUGACUAUUGGCCAGUCAGAGAGAAGAGAAAUGCAGUUCCCCUGUCCCUUUUCAGGCUAUGUUUGAAUCUAGAGAAAAGAAGUAAAAUAAUCUGAGGCAUGAGACCUAGCAGAAACGCUUGAAACCUCACAGACUCUACCAAAUUCAUUCAGUGAUCAGAAAAUCAUUUUUAAGUGAUUGUGACAUUAAGGUUACCACCCAAGAAUAGGAACAUUUCAUUCUAGAAGCUUCCAAAUUUCAUUCUCAAUGUUUUGGUUGAUCUGAACCUAGAAAACAUUUGACUGUAGCGCCACACAGUGGAAUUGAACGUGAGACCAUGGUAGCUGCAAAAGCAAAUAGUUUAACCAUACAGCCAUAUCUGCAUCUGUUUUGAAUGAGUUGCAAAAAGUCUUAAGCAAUAUAAAAAUACUCUGCGACAGACAGUUCUUUGUUUUUUUCUUUUAUUCAUUGUAUUUUUAGCCUCUCAUACUGACAUGUUGACAAAUAAAAAUUUUAUAAGUAUGUAAAUGUCAGUUAAAUCUGUGAAGCAUUUCAUAUUUUUCUAAUAUAAUGGUGCAAAUAUGAGCAUGUAAUUAAAAAUUUUACUUUGUGGUCACAUGGAUUCAGGUGCAGCCACAAAAUGUGAUACCUUAGGCAAGUGUUUUAUGUGUGUGUGUGAGAGAGAGAGAGAGAGAGCGUGUGUGCACACGCGCGCGUAAUCAAAGUAUGCAGCAGUAUAGAUUCAUUACAGUCAAUCUUACAAAUCCGUUUUGCACAAGAUAUUAGAUGAGAAAAUUAUCUACUAACUGUGUGUGUGUAUAUAUAUAUAUAUAUAUAUAUAUAUAUAUAUAUAUACAUAUACAUAUAUAUAUGUGUGUAUAUAUAUUUAUUUAAAGAUAAAUUAAAUAGAGAGAUACUAUAGAGAAUCUAAUAAUUUAUUUAUAUUACAUGAUAUACUAUGAAUAUUAUAUAAAAUAAACAAUUAUUUAAAAAACCAUAAGAGGCCAACAAAUUGUUUCGACUUGAAUAUAUUUUUUCUGCUAUACAUACAUAAUUACAGUUCCCUUAUAUGUAAUGUCACUUCAGGGUCAUGCUUUAAAUAUAGACGAAAUUCCAUGAGAAAGGAUGGCUGCAAUUUCGUCUAUAUUUAAACCAUGACCCUGAAGUGACUUUAUAUAUAAGAGAACUGUUAUUAUGCAUAUGUAUAUCAGAAAAAACAUACAUAAGUCGAAACAAUAUGUUCGCCUCUUAUGUUUUUUUUAAAUAAUUGUUUAUGUUAUAUAAUAUUAUGUUAUGAUAUAUUGUAAUCAUAGUAUAUCAUGUAAUAUUGUAAUACAAAUAAAUUAUUGGAUUGUCAAUAGAAUAUCUCUCUGUUUAAUUUAUCUUCAUAAUUGAAUUAUACCAAUAUUUAUAGGGUAUUCAGCUGACGUACCAGGGACCCAUUUGAAGGAUUUCUUUUCCUCAGAUUGUUACUAUUCACACACACACAUAAACACAUAUUUUGUGUUGUUAUAGAUAUAUAUAUACACACAAUAAGUGCUUAAGUUGACUCAGUUUGAACUGAGACUAAAAGAAAAAUCAGUGGUGUUAUGGCUGCCUGGCAACGAAUGGUUAGAGACACUUUAUCAUGGAGCAGGUACAUGUACAAUAGAAUGAAAAGAUGAACAGGCAAACGACUGGCAUCGGUUUGAGUGGAUCUUUAGGGAAAAGGGAAUUAAAAAGGUGAGCAGAUAGUCUCCCUCUUUCUCAACAGUUUCAAGAAGAGAGGUGCAUAUGGUGCAUUUCUCUGCAAACAAAUAUAAGCUGUCCAUACAGCAGCAGUGUGUUCCAUCUUCAAAGAGAAGAAACUGAAGCAAAUGGUUGUCGAGGAACGUUUGUAAUGAUGAGUUCUAUCAUCAGUGAGGGAAUGAGGUUGAUCGGCUGUGAAGGUCUACUGCUAACCAGUAGAAAGGAAAGAUAGAGUCAUGAAGAUAAGAGCGUAGAUAAGAACUAACGUCCAUCGCAGGUGAUGGAAAUAUAGACUUUUGAGUCAGAGGAAGAUACAUAGAAAUGGAAUGGUCAAUGCGAGUAGGAGUGUAGAAGGGCAGAGGUUGAUUGCCAACGGAUGAAAACGGCCAAUUGUAUAAUGGCAAUGUCAAGUGUGGCAAAUGCAUUAGAAUUAACAGACAGCGGUUGGGGUUGGGCCGAGGUAUUGAGGAUAGCAGACAGGAUAAAGAAAAUCUGCUAAUAAUAGCAGUUUUGGCAUGAUGGUUCAAGCAGUGUGUGUGGGAAGGAAGGGGUUAUACUAAAUAUCAAGAGGAGAAGCUGUAGGGUAGAGAAGAAAGACAUGUACAAGGUUAAAAAGCAAGUAGCUAAUAUGGGGUUCCAGAGGAUUGGAUAAUUGUAAUUAUGAAGAGGUUGUAUUUAAAAUGUAAGCUCAGUGAAGAGUGAAAAUAUAUGAAGUAGUCACUAGAUGAAUAAUAAAGUGACGUGUACCAAAUUAAAACUACAUAAAAGGAAAUAAAGAAAAUAUAUUAAUUUAAUUUAAAUAGGUAGAAUUUAAAUUGUAAGUUCUGUGAUGAAUAAAAAUAUAAGUAAUCGCUAGAUGAAUAAUAUAACGAUGUGCAACAGAUUAAAACAAAACUAAAUAAAGUAAAUAUAUUGAUUUAAUGUAAAUAAGUUAAAUAGACAUUUGAAGUUGAACUAUUCCAUGCAUGUAAGAAUUAUGUGUAGAGGGAUACGUAUUACUGUGUUUACAUUUGUGAUAAAAUUGAAAUGUCCUAAAGAAUUACGAAUACAAGAGGAGGACAUUUUGUGUUGUUUGUUGGGUUAGGCAAAAGUAUCAUUAUUAUUAUUUCCGUUUGUUAUGGUUUGUGAAUUAUAUCCAUUGAUUUUGCACCAAUUUGAAGUGGCUAUAAUUAAUCCAAUAUUAGAUCUAGCUGAAUGGGUUAAUUUAAGAGUGGAUAACUUAAAAACUGAACGGUACAUAUGCUGUAACAGGAAACUAGAUUUAAUAAUGCUAAAAAAACUGCUUAGGUAAGCCCUUAAAGUUUCAAGGGAAGCAGAAUGUAUAUCAAAGUGUAUUUCUCCUCCCGCUUUUGUUUGGUAAUUGUGAGGGUAUGAUAUUCCUGUUCUUGUUGGAUAUCUGUGGUAUAUUUUCAUCCCCAGGAUUAUCUAUCAUAUGUGUUCUCUUGAGUUUAGGAUUAGGCAGGUGGACAUGUUCUGUGAAAUGUUAUGUGGUGGAGGAUUGGGGUGGAUGUUCUUAUUUUUAGUGGGUCUCUAAGAGUCUGGAAUUAGGAUCUAACUGCACUAGGUAAUUCUUAAGUUUUGUAUUACGUAAGAAUUUUUUUUUAUUCUGUGAGGAAAUCCACUUGUGGUGUGGUUAUUAAAGACUUCUUCAGUUGCAGAAAGAUUAGAUACUCUAAUGAAGAUUCUAUUAAUGAUGCUUUUUAAUCUGUGGUAAUUGGAGUGAAUAUUAAUAUAUUUUAGAUUCUCAUUAAGUUUAUGGUACAGGGAGUAUAAUGAAGAGUUUCACUCCAAGGUUAUGUCCAGGAAGUUAGCUUUUAUAUCUUUUCUGUGGUUAAAUAUGUAAAUGCCCUGAUUGAAACCAAUGCCAAUUGUUUGUCUGUUCAUCUUUUCAUAUGGUUUUGGGUUCAGUCCCACUGUGUGGCACCUUGGGCAAGUGUCUUCUACUAUAGCCUCGGGCCGACCAAAGCCUUUUGAAUGGAUUUGGUAGACGGAAACUGAAAGAAGCCCAUUGUAUAUAUAUAUGUGUAUGUGUGUGUAUAUCUUUGUUUGUCUGUGUUUGUUCCCCCCCCCCAACAUCGCUUGACAACCAAUGCUGGUGUGUUUACGUCCCUGUAACUUAGCGGUUAGGCAAAAGAAACUGAUAAAAUAACUACUAGGCUUACAAAGAAUAAGUCCUGGGGUCGAUUUCCUCGACUAAAGGUGGUGCUCCAGUAUGGCCACAGUCAAAUGACUGAAACAAGUAAAAGAAUAAAAGAAUAUACAUUUAUAUAUAAAGGAUGACCUCAGGGUGCUGAACCUUCAGAUGAGAUGAUAAGGGACCAAGAUACAGGUCAGUCCCCCCGGUUGACGAUUGACCUGCAAGAACACUGUACCAUAUAAAAAGCAUUCAUGCCAGUAUCACAUAGCAGCACUUAUGCAGUGCCACAUAAGAGCACCCAGUACACUCUGUGUAGUGGUUGGCACUUGGAAGGGCAUCCAGCUGUAGAAACCAUGCCUAAUCAGAAGCUGAAGUGCCUCAUGCAGCACUUCAGCUUGCAAGCUCUGGUCAAACUGACCAAUCCAUGCCAGCAUAGAAAACAAAUGCUAAAUGAUGAUAAUGAUAUCCUCCUCAUCAUCAUUUAAAUAUAUUGCCUGGACUGGCAUGGGCAGAAUCAAACAAAAAUCAACUUUAUAUGCUGUAUGUGUUCCUUUACAUCUUAAUUAUAUCUUUUUAUCCUCAAGUCAACUUUGUUUCUCUUCUUCCAAAAUCGUUUAAAAUAAGUCCCAGGGAAAAUGCUGUUGUCAAUAUAAUUGAUUAUAACCCUAGAAGACAUUAUUUCAGGAAGGUCACAGCUAACGAUUGCAAACAAUUAAUCACAUCUUUAGAUCAUAUGCAUCAGCAGUCUUCUAACGAAGAGUGUUAUUACUCUUAAUUGAAAAAUAAUGCUUCCUGCUUCACAACCAGAAAUGGAAAGACAUCUGAUGAGGAUCAAACUGCUCAAAACUUUGUGUAGCUGUAAAAAUUGAAAACAAUCUUUUAUCUUUGAACAUAUUAAUCCCAAUAAUUGUUAUAUUAAAGUACUUGUGGUUAUAAGAAUUUAACAAUUAAUACUCUUAUCAAGAUUAAAAUUUUCUAGAUUACUAAUCUUCUUAUCCUUUACAAUACUAAUCAUGAAAGCAAGUAUCCUAGUGAUCAUAGUGUUAGUCUCACAAUUUUAAGCAUGGCUUCAAUUCCUAGAUCAGAUGGUGUGUUGUAUUCUUGAGCAAGGCACAUCAUUUCACAUUACUGCAGUUUACUCAUCUGAAACGAAUACUAACUGCGUGCUCCUUCCAACAGUCACAUCCAGGAUGUUUCACUGGGUCAAGAGUAGAGGGACCAAGAGAACUUCUAUGUUUGUUUGGAAUUAAGACAAUCAAGUUCUGAAGGUGUAAAUAUAAACAUUCACUUUAGUCAAGACAAUCAUAAUCCCAAUAACUACCUACCUUGAACAUUUUACCAUUUUACCAUUCUGUCUUUUAUAUCCCAAGCCAAUACUCCAGUGUGGCCUUAGUUAUAAUGACUAAAAAUCAAAAACUAAAGAGUCCAAGAACUCGUAGCAUAUCAACUUCAUUAACCAAUAAUUCAACAUUUAGAAUCAAAAUUAUAUUUUUCAAUUCCUUGCAAAAGGUUUCCAUGUCAUGUGAUAAAAACAAAAUGACCAUGGGGUUAAAAAGUUUACUUUGUAACUAUGUGAUUUCACAUUUGAUCCCACUAUGUCUUCAACAAUUGCUUCAGGUUGACCAAAACGUUGUGAGUGGAAUUUGGUAGAUGGAAAAAUGUGUGCAAAUUUCACAGGGGUACAUUAUUUUUGUUUUUUCGAAGCUGAAUCUAUCACUCAAUAAAACACCACUACUGACUCGUAGGGGUUUAGUAUAAUUGUUGUUGUAAGACAAUGAGGAAUCACAACAGAGAGAGAGAGAGAGAGAGAUGAAAUGAUGAAUAAUACCAAUAUCGAAAUUAUUUAAUUAAGCUAGAAGAAAUACUCCGGGUCACUACGGAACCUCAAAGUACAAGUUCAAUGAAUAAGAACAGCUAAAGAAAACAACUCAUUUAAACUGAACUGUCUAAAUUACAAAUUUCUUUAUAAAGAUGAAGCGUGAAUGCACAUUGUCUGUAUUUAUGGAAAUAUGAUUAAAAGCAAAAUGUUUGAUAGUUCACAACAUAAUAUACAUAGUUCAAAGUGUUUAAGCAACAUCUCUAAGAAAACAGUGGAAGAAUCUACUUUCGUUGGCUCAAUCUCUGAUCAAAAUUUUCUUACAAGCAUUCAGGCCUGGUCUCUAAUCUGGAAACAAUUUUCUCUCUUCCUUUCACCUUUCCUAGAGAGUCUGAAAAGGGUCAACAGCACAGCCAUUCUCCUCUAAGUCAUUAAAAACCAAUGUAAAACCUGUUUUAUUUGAUUUUGCUUCCUCCAGACCUAUGGAUGGAUUUGAUUCUAGCACUACAAACUAAAAACACUCAUUGAUUAUAUAGUGUUCCAGUUAUUUACAGUGUUGAACUGCACCACUGAAAUCUAGGAUGACUAAACCAUCUUUCGUGAGUGAAAGUCAAAUGCAGCUUUGAUGACGGAAUACAAAUUAUGAAGUCUUCAAAUGGUGGAAUAGUUUCUGUUGAAUUCAUAUUCUGUUGAAUUCACAACUGGCUGUGAUUCUUCAUACAAAUGUCCUUACUUUAAAUUCUCUUCUUGUAACCUUUCAGUCUUUUUAUCUUUAAUUCUCAUCCUAGAUAUUUUCAUGUAAAGAUCUCUCUUUUAUUCUCUGUUAUGUCACAGAACAGUAGACCACCUGAUUUGAUGUUUUGGGAGGUGCCCUGUCUCCUCAACCCUCAAAUUCUACACUAACCGCUAUACCCAAACCUUCCUUUCCAAAACGACUAGAAUUGACUUGCCCAUCUGUUUCAAAGAGUUUAUGAAUGACAUAGGCAUUUCCUUUUCCCUUUGACCAAACCUUAAAUAAAAGCCAAAUUUUCAUUUCUUCUGUCAGGCUUCAUAAAAUAAGCAACAUUAAUAUCUUCAUUUUCUACAUCUAUCAGAUUGUAUCAAGUACAUAAUGAGGGAUGUGCCAUUUAUCCCAGCUAAUAAUACUUAGGGGUUGUUGCUCCUCAUGGGAACAAUGUGGCCAUUUAGAUUCACACCAUUAUCAGCCCUUAAAAUGCAAACAACAUCAAGUAGAUUUUUUUCCACCCACAGUCUCUUGCCUAAAGGAACCUUGGGUGCAGGGAGCUCUCAGUGGUUAUGUUAAAUCAACAUUAGUAUUGCACUAGUACUUUAUUUUGUUGACUUCAGCAGGAUAAAAAGUAAAGUUGACUUCAGCAUGAUUUGAAAUAAGAAUAUAAAAGUCCUUCACCAAAUGCUGCAAAGUAUUUUUUCUGCUAGUCUAUCACUUGUGUCUGCUAGAUUAGAUCUAAUCUACUAGAGUACAGUCUCUUUAAGAAAAAGUACCUCAUGCUUUGUCAGAACCUUCAUUCUAGUUUGUAAUUUUUGUCAAAGGUUUUUCUUCUAUUUUUAUUUACCGUGUGAAUAUUCCCGAAAUCUAUUGUGAUUAUUGAAAUAAUUAUAAUCAUCGAAAUAACUGUGUAUGAUAUUAAAAUAAUUGUAAUUAUUGAAAAUAUUGUAAUUCUUGAGAUACUUGUAAUUGUUGAAGUAAUUGGGAUUAUUGAAAUAAUUGUAAUUAUUGAGAAAUAAUUGCUGAAAUAAUUGUGUUAUUAAAGUAAUUGUGAUUAUUGAGGUAAUUAUUAUUGAAAUAUUUGUGAUUAUUAAAGCAAUUGUGAUUAUUGUGAUUAUUGAGAUAACUGUAAUUACUGAAAUAAUUGUAAUUAUUGAAACAAUUAUGAUUAUCAAAAUAAUUGCAUUUAUUGGAAAUAUUUAUGAUUAUUGAAAUAAUUCUAAAAAUUCAAAACAUUUUUUCAUACUUUUUUCCUUUCCUGUCAGUUUCUUCAUUUCCAUUAUUUUUUUCUUUUUCUAUGGAUUAUCUCUUUUAUUUUAUUUUAUUCUGUCUUUUCCUUUCCACAGUCAUGCAACAUAAUAACAAGCUAGAGUCUAUUGCCAAACAGAACUAGAAUUGAUCUCGGUCAAAUAACUUUUCCCCUUUCACAUAACUUUACAAUAUAUUAUCAGUUAGAACAAAACUCACACAGGUGUUGCCCAACACCAACACAAUUGAUGUUGCUCUAGAAGUGCAGCAUCUACAUCAUAACUGUCCACUGACAUCUAUUUAUGUGCUUAUCUGUUAAUUCAAACGAGGAAUGAAAGAGACACAAACAUUCAGAAAAUAUCUUCAUUUUACUCCAUAUCUAAACAUCAACUAUAAUUUUCCAUUCCUCCCACGACCACCGCACCCCACCCUCGGGUGAGGCAACUACAAAGACUUUAAUAAUCAUGUUAGAGGAAGAAAGAGCUUUAAUCAGUCAACAAUUAAAACUGCUGUUCGCAUUUCUGGAAAUAGUUUCCUUCGUCAGUCGUCCACCUCACUUUAUCUUCUAAAUUUAUAGCAUUGCACACCACUUAUUUAUAAACAUGCAAGCAGUCUUAUCACAAAUCAUUUCAUCCUUGUAACUCUCUGAUAUAUUAGAGUCAAUUAUUAACUUUCAAUGAAGUCAUUCUCUCAAAACUGUUUUCAUUGCAGCUUUAUCUGUCUGUCGUCUUUUUAGAACUGAAAUUUGGAAAACAUUCACUCUCACUUUCUCUUAUAUCAGACAUAUUUUCAUCAAAUAAUGUGGUUGCUGUUGUUGUUGUUGUUGUUACCAUUGUUGUUGUUGUUUAUAUCCAGACUAUCCUUGAUCCAGGAAACCUAUGAUGAAAAGCAUUCCAGUCAUGACUGACCCUGUCUAUUUUUCUUUCUUUUAUUUUUUGGGUUUUUUUUCUUUUCAGAUACAAUGUAUCUAAUACCACAUUAUGUCUUUCUAAUUUGUCCAUCAUUUUUCUAAAACAGUACGGUGUGGUUUCAGUGAAAUUCUACUGCUAUUUCUAGCAGGUCAAACAACCACACAUUGGGCCCCCACCCACCUCAUUAUCUCAUCAAACAAUGUAGUGUUGUUGCUAUUAUUAUUAUUGUUGUCAUUAUUGUUUAGCCUCAUGUCAACCAUGAUGAAACAGAUCUAUGAUCAAGGAUAUUCCAGCCAUGAUCAUCCCCUCUUAUUUUCAGACGUGUAUCUAGAACAACAUUAUUUAAAGUGCCCUUCUUUCUUUAUGAUGGUAGGUUGUGAUUUUGAUAGACAUUUGGUCGUUAUAUCCAGCAAGCUGCUCCAUUGAACAUGUAGGAAGAGCAAUUUGUUUUUAAAUAUUGUUUACCAUUGUUUUAUCAAUUACAAACCAUUUCAUCUGAAUGAUAAUUACAAAUUGGUGACAUUUUAAUGUAGACAACAGCAUAAUUAACAGGUGCCCCACACUGUAUUUGUAUAUAUAAACAAAUGUCAGGUACAUUUAUGAGUGUUUGUUUAUAUUAAACACACUUUAGCCUCUCUUAUGAAAAGUACAUACUCUGGUUGAACCCCAUUUUCCUAUUUCUGGGACCAGAAAAAAAGUCACAUUUCAGUGUUUUUAUUGCUUCGUUAGGGAAGGUCACUCAUUUCCUUAACUAUAGAGAACAUAGUAGCCUUAUAUAUAGAGAGAACACAGUAGCCUAUAACUGUUUACAGUACAUACAAACUUGGAUAAAAUUAAAUUGACCUGUUCUAAUAUAAAUAAUCAUAAAUGCAAGCUUUGGAAAUGUUUAAUUAACACAGAGAAGCACUACACCAAACAACAUUAGGAUAACUAGUGAUAUUAGUUCAAACUUAUGGGUGUAUUUAGAAUAAAUUUUUCUGGUUGCAAUUGAAAAGUACCUAUUUUUCACUGCUAAGUUAAAAGCAUGUUUACUAUUAACACACAGUCAUAAUUCGACCUUUUAUCUCUGUUUAUCCGAAUGUUGUUGUGUACAUCAUCAUCAUCAUUUAAUUAAAUGUUAUUAACAGAUGUACCAUCUUAAUGAAAAUUAAGGCAGAUCAGUUUAGUUUUGUUCAAGUUUAUGUAUACUAUAAAUAGUCGUAAGAUACUAUUUAAUUUACGAGUGGGAAAAUGAGUGAUCGGUCACUGAUGAAGCAGUAAGAAAGGAAAAACUAGUCACGUCUGUCUCCUUUUUCUGGUCAUAGAGACAAAAAUGUGGUUGUAAUACAGUAUCUUCUCUUCACAGCAAGGCAAAAGAAAAAUUAUUUGUUCACUAUAAACAUCACUGUAUGUUUACCUCUUUUUUGAUAAUUAUGCAUAAUUUUUCUAAAUUGACUUCAUAAACAAAUAAACUUAAGAUGAGAUGUUACUGAAGUUAACUUGCAGAAAUUCUGUUCUGGGGAGAUACAAGGAUACAUUUAUCAUAAUGUUCUGGUGUGAUGGCAUUAUAUCUAUGAGAAUUUCAGGUGAUUUGAAUGUGUAGUUUCAGGAAAUGUGUGAUUAAAACAGAUUAUAGCAUCAUCUACAACCAUUCCUUGCAUGUCAAUGUGCUCUCUUUCACUUUAUCUAUUUUGGUUGUUGUCAUUGUUUAGCUCAAACACUGUCAGCAUUUUUUAUCUUUCUUUUCUUCUGUUUUUUUUUUUUUCUAAGACCUGUGCAUUCGGGACAACAUUAUCAGAUGCAUCUUUCUCCUUUUAAGUUAGUAAGAUGUGGUUUGAGGGUUAUUUGACUGCUAAUUCUUGCAGUAUGAGUGACCACAUAGAAGUUCCCUAGCUGACUUGUGUAUUUUACUGAUAGUAGCUGUUAUUUAACUUCAGGUCAGCCCAAAUUGAACAAAUAUACAAUUAAAAGUAUUCCAGACAUCUUUUUCUUUCAGGCAGUGAACACCAUCCAGUUCUAAAUUAUCAAAUGUAACCUUUCCAUUGUGAGAUGAAGAUUUUGAGGGAGAUUUGACUCCUAUUUUUAUUCAUUUAUUUUUUGUGUGAAUCAGCACAAUAUGUUAAGUCACUUGUGUUCUUUCAUCAGGACUAUAUCCACUGUAUUUUAACACCACUGUGAGGGGAAAGUUCAAUGCCAUGUUUAUUCUACCUGUUAUAUACUGCUGAUUUUUUGAAGUUUGUUGCAGUUGAUGCAGGAGAGGCUGAUAUUUCAAACCCAGCUGGCAUGGAUUUCAUCUAUUGCUUGCAGAUCUAUGAGGGUAGGGUAUUGUUAUGCCAAUGAAAAGUCGAUCACCAAUCGUUCUGGAUAAUAGAUUCAAUUCACCACCCAAUUUAGCACCAUCAUUGAGCCUUUGGGUACCUUCAGCAGAAUCCAUCUGCAGCAAGCGUUCAUGCCAGACCUCUGACGAUAACUUCUUCCCAUUUUCCCACCAAGCACGAAACACCUGGGUCACAGCAAUUUCUCUUCCAUCAAGUCACACAUUCAUAUUCUCUUCUUCUUCUUCUUCUUCUCAGUCAAAUGUAGGAACAACACUGAUAUCUUCUUACAUUUCUUUGAUAUGUGCAUCUGCGUCCACAAGGGUCUGACUUCCCAUCAUAAUUGUUGUGUUCAUAUGGUUUGUUGUUCUCUUUAAGUUGCUGUUAUUGUUUAACCCCAGGUCAUCUUUGAUCCAGCAGCCCUCUGAUCAAAUGGCAUUCUAACCAUGACUACAUCAUAAUAUUUUCAAAAAUUUUAUUUAAGGCUACAUUAUUCAUCAUGUCUUUCAUUUUUAAAGGGUAUGGUCGAUUUGAAGGCUACUUGGCUAUUUUGUAAGAAAGUAGGGUGUGACUCGAAGGAGAUUUGACUGAUAUUUUUAUAACAAGUCUAGCAACAAUAUAGAAACUGCUUUGAUGAUUUAAUAGUUCCGUAAGGACUUUAAAUGGUUGCAAUUUCUUAAUCUAUUCAGGUAAACCAAAGAUUCUGAUUUGUGUCUGUGAUAAAAUAUUCAUUCAUCUUGUUAUAAUUUUGCCAACAUAAGAUGUUUAGUAUAUUGUAAAAAAAAUAUAAACUUUCGUCCAUCGAGUUGGGUUUAUAUUGUCCCUGUAUUUGCCAAGCAUCAGACGAAGUUUCCAUUGCAAGCUUACGUUCAUUUUGAUUCCUGAGUUGUCACUCUUGACGUUCUUCAGUAGAUCUGAAUUAUUCAACAACCCAUGUUUAUGUGCAUGUAUGUAUGCAUAUGCGUAUAUAUAUAUAUAUAUAUAUAUAUAUAUAGUAAUAACAAUAAUAAUCCUUGGAUGUAAUUUAUGAAUAUUUUAAAUAUUUUAGAUAUUUAUAAAUUCCAUCCAAGGAUUAUUAUUAUUAUUAUUAUUAUUAUUACUACAUUUAUCCUACAUUAUAGCAGCACAGCUUGGUGCAACCCCAAAAAACUGGUAUCACCAAUUGGCAUCAUGAGGCAGUAGCUGACAUGAUAGAAUAGGAGCUUUUACAUGUUGUUUGUUCCCUCACAAGCCAUGCCUGGUUCGUAAGGGCUGGUUUCCCACCUGGAUGGGAUACCAAUCCAUUACAGGUGAGCUGCUAGAUGCAGGAGGAAAGAGUGAGAGAAAGUUAUGGGGAAAGCAUCAGUGGAAGUUCACCAAUACCUUCUGCUGGAGCACCAUGGAGCUUAGGUGUUUCACUCAUAAACACACACAUCGCCCGGUCUGAGAUUCGAACCCAUGAUCUCUCAACUGUGAGUCCACAGCUCUAACCACUAGGCUAUGUGCCUCCACAGGAGCUUUUAUAUACAUAUUCAAAAUGUUUCCUGUAAACAAAAUUAAAGGAUGUAUAUAUAUAUAUAUAUAUAUAUAUACACACAGAGUGCAAUGGGUAAAUUGUCACCAGUUUAUAUUUUUAAUUUUGUACAUGCACAUUUUUUGUUUUUUAUUUUGUCGACUACACAGUAUAACAGGGUCAGUUGGGUACUGUCUGUGAGAAAAACAGUAUUAUGAUGCAAUUCACUCUGCCAGAAAUUUUGAAACAACAUGCUGUACUGCUUGGCAUUUGUGCAGGAAGCUCCAAUAGAAACAUUUCAGAGUGUUUGGGUGUCAAUCUGAGGACAAUGCAGAGGAUUUGGAAAGAGCUAGAUGAGUCUAUUGCUGAUUACGAAGGGACGGCAGCUCAGAAAACUCACUCUGAUCGUUCUGAUAAGAAAAGAACUCCUGAAUUUGUUGGUGGGACCCAGGCCAUGAUUGAUAAUGAUCCCUCCAAGUCAAUCAGGUCCAUUGCCAGGGACAUGGGAGUGUCUGAGUUUCUUAUCAGGCAGGUAGUGUAUGAAGACAUUUGCUAUUUCUAAUAGAUGAGAAAGGGCCAAUUUUUAUCCCAAGCCUUUAAGGACAAGAAGCUUUUGAACAACAAAUACCAAAGAUGUACCGAAAACAGAUUCCAUCACAUGCCAGGGGAAAAACCAGAAGUAGUUGAUAGCUUCCGUUACCUAGGUGACCAAGUCAGUAGUGGGAGUUGAUGCUCUGAGAGCAUAUUUUAAUAAGAAUAGCCUAGGCUCCUACCUCUGCUGGUAGUAAAGGGCCUCUCACUCAGAUUGAAAGGUAGAUUGUAUGAUGCCUGUGUGUGAACAGCCAUGCUACACAGCAGUGAAACAUGAGCUGUGGUUGAUGAGGACAUGCUUAGGCUUGAAAGAAAUGAAGUUAGUAUACUCCACCAUGGCCAAUGCCACUAUCACAUUACUGGCCCAUUUAAAAGUACCCUUCUUCAAUUGUUAGGCAAUAUGCUGUGCUUGGGAAGACCUGUUGAGCCAAGUGGAAUCAUAGUCAUGGCGGAUGCCAGUGUCGCAUGACUGACUCCCGUACUGGUGGCACAUAAAAAGCACCAUUCGAGCGUGACAUGCCAGUUCUGCCAGACUGGCAUGUAAAAAGCACCAUUCAAGUGUGAUCGAUGCCAGUGCCACCUAACUGGCUCCUGUGCCAGAGGCAUGUAAAAUGCACCCACUACACUCUCGAAGUGGUUGGCAUUAGGAAGGGCAUCUAGCUGUAGAAACAUUGCCAGAUCAGAUUGGAGCUUGGUGCAGCCUCCUAGCUUGCCAGUCCUUAGUCAAACCAUCCAACCCAUGCCAGCAUGGAAAGCAGACAUUAAACAAUGAUGUUGAUGAUGAUGAUGAUACAUGCAUACAUACAGUAUAAUAUGGCAUGACACUGUCAUGUCACAUAUGUAGGAACAGUCUCAUUCACACAUUCACAUGUACCAGAAGCUGUAUUUUCUCAAAUAAAAGUUUUACGCCUCCUUGAACUCUGCAAAGAAAUACACACAAAUGUGUGUACACACACACACACACACACACACACACACAACAGGCAUAACUGACCCUGCUGACUUUCAAACUGAUUUCAUCUCCCAAGUUUUACUUGUAAAGCGUCAAUCAAUCUGAGAUUAGCUCGCAGGUGCUUGCUGAAGGUGUCUCGCAGCAGGAUUAAAACCAGAACAAAAUGGCUGCUAAGCAAGAUUGUUGACCCCGCGAUAAUGCCAGUCGCCUUCCAAAGAAUGAACUUUUGUUCUUGAUUAUAAUAAGUCAUGAAUCAUCAGUACAACGCACAUUGCAGUUUUAAUACCAUGAGGCACUAAUCGUUAGCAUACUGAAAUUGCUGGCCUCGAGCCAAAAUUUGAAACUAAUAUUACCAGCCACUAAAUAAAUUUGUGAAGGUGCACAGCCUUGUAGUUGAGGGUAUUGCACUCACAAUCACAAGAGCAAGGUUUCAAUUCCCAGACCAAGUAGUGCACUGUGUUCUUGAGAAGGACAUUUCAUUUCAUGUUGUUCUCCUCGGCCACUCAGCUGUAAAUGAGUGGCCCCGUGAUGAGCCAGCAUCCUACUCAGAGGGAUUGUUGUGAUCUUCGUUACUUAUAUGCCAUGGAAAGAAGAGUCAAAUCAACUGUUAGCCACAGCAAAGCUCAUACAUUUCUAGCGAUGCUGAUUUGCACCCUUGGUUGCUUUAGGGAUGUUUGUACUUGGGCCUUUUGGUUUUUAAAUUUCGGAUAACUGCCUCAGUAAUUUAUAAUUUUCACUUGACCAGUUGACCAAAUCCUCAAAUGCUUCUUCCUAAGGUAAUUGCUAUAAACUGAGAAGGGGAAUCCCCUCCAACCGUGGCAAUGGAGUAAGGGUCCUUAAUGAGAGUUAACUCAAUCUGAAAUCAUUGAUGAUUUAACACUUCUUGCUGUGGGGAGGUUGGUCUCCCUUGUCAAUCAAUAGAUAAGCGCUUGCCUGUGGCUAAGAGUUCUUUUAACUCUUAUUAAUGUUGCUGCUGAUUUGCACCCUUACUCACCGGAGGGAAGUUUGUACUUGUAUAUAUACAUCAUCAUCAUCGUUUAACAUCCGCUUUCCAUGCUAGCAUGGGUUGGACGAUUUGACUGAGGGCUGGUGAACCAGAUGGCUGAACCAGGCUCCAAUCUUGAUCUGGCAGAAUUUCUACAGCUAGAUGUCCUUGUAGAAACUCUGCCAGAUCAAGAUUGAAGCCUGGUGCAGCCAUCUGGUUCACCAGCCCUCAGUCAAAUCGUCCAACCCAUGCUAGCUAUAUAUAUAUAUAUAUAUAUAUAUAUAUAAUAUAUAAAGACACCUAUCCCUGUCCUUUUAUACCGCUAAUCUCUCAUCAACUGGCACAAAGCGCCCCCCCUCACCCAACUCACUACUUCUCCCCACUUCCAGCUGAAGAGGUUUUUGUCUUGCAAGUUACUUGAUGACUGUAUUGGUGCCACAUAAAAAGUACCCAGUGCAUUCUGUAAAGUAGUCAUUAGGAAGGGAACCCAGUCAUAGAGAUCAUUCCAAAACAGACAAUGGAGUUUUACCAGUUCCAGUCAAACCAUCCAACCCAUGCUAACAUGAACAUUAAAUAAUAUAUAUAUAGUAUAACUUGGAUAUCAUAGUUAUUUUCUUUGUCUUUAGCCUUACCUAUGAUUUCUUGAAACUUAUGAAGGGCUAUAUUUUCAUGGCUAUGGAAGUAAUGCUGAGCACAAAUUAUGUUUAAAAAUUUUGCUAUUUUGAUUGUUAGAUGUGUUCUUUUGAAAACUUUCUGAAUACGACAAGACUGAAUAAAUUUUAUUGCAUAAGAUUAUACUUGUAAAGUUUGUAGAUUAUCUGUUAGACACUGUUCAUUGUUAGUGACGAAGAGAGAUGUUUACAUAUCAGUAAUUAUCAACAAUCUCGUUAUAUAAGAAAUGAUUAACUUAAAAUCAAAUUUUAACUGAAGAAUGCAUCUGAAAGCGAAAGUAGAGCUUAUAAGAUGCUUCCGAAUGUUAAUAUUGUCUUACAACUACAGCAGAAAUUAGAUUCUCCAUACACUCCUUCCUAAUAUCCAGAGGAAAAUCCAAGCAACACUUUGUGCUGUAAAACAAACCUGAUUUGCUUCUAAGUUUUAAACUACUGAAUACUUUGGAUGUCUGAUCAAACUUUCAGAACAAUGAAGAGAUGAAAGAAAUUUUAACCAUAAAAUACUUCACUCAAAAAUGGCAAGUGGUACUGUUAAAGCAGUGGUCAUUUUUACAAUUGAUUAAGUGCAUAUCAAAACUUGAGUCAAAGAAUUUCCUUUGAAAUUUUGGUCAACUGGAACUUUAUUCUGGACGAGAUAAGUUAACCAUUACAAGCUGUUGUCAUUGUGUUUUUGUGUGCUUUGAAAUACGUUUUAGAUAUGAAGAAAUGUCCUUCAUUAUCCAAACAUUGGCUAUCACAUUGUUACCUUUUGAUAAUAGCUGCUAAACGAUGUGGCAUAAUAUUCUGCAACUAAGAUGAAGGAAUUAACCCCGUUUCAGUGUUUCUCUGUGGUUCUCUGUUGUUCAAAGACUAUUAAUUUUACUUUUGGUCUAUGUACUUUAAUGUAGUUGACUAAUAUUGAUUUUAGUAAGAAUAUUGCUAUAUUUAUUUUAUGCAUUAGGAAAUUGCUUCGUUUACAGCUUAUGUAUUUGUGUUUUAAGUAUGAGGAUGUGCAUGUAUGUGUAUGCUUGGUAUUUCUCUACUUAAAUGUGGUUCAUUCUACAGCACAAGAUAUUUUAGUCUAAACAACAACUUCAAUAAAAUUCUGAACUUCAAGAAAGUUUCACUUAUUACAAAUGAGCAACUUAGCAAUUAAAUUCAAAGAAUUCUGAUUAUCUGGUCUGAAAUUUCUAGAAGUUAACAAGUAAACAUAUACUGGCAAAAAUAAUAUAUAUCAAGUAUUAUAGAUGUGAAAUCAAACCAAUAAUUAUAGUUCAAUAGCUGAGGAUUCUUUAUCAGCGGACUCUGUAGAGACUUUUAUUUACUGAGUUUCAAAUCUGAGCUCAGUGUAAAUAUAUGCAAUUUUCUGUACAUAUAUUUUUUUAGUCAUUAGCUCUUAUAGAACAAACCAAUUAGACAUAACGAUAUCUUGGUUUAGAAUUUUAGUGGGGAACAAUCUAAUCAUAUACUUUCAGUGCAAUUGUUAAAACACUAUAAAUGUAGGCGAGGUUGUGUUGUUAAAAGUGUGUUUUGCUACCAUGUGGUGCAGUACAUGGAGUAAGUAUUCUCUACCAUGGUUGUUUUGUGUUAACCAAAUGCUUAUCAAUGAAGUUUGGUAUACCUAUUUCUUUACUACCCACAAGGGGCUAAACACAGAGAGGACAAACAAGGACAGACAAACGGAUUAAGUCGAUUAUAUGCGUAACUGGUACUUAUUUAAUCGACCCCAAAAGGAUGAAAGACAAAGUCGACCUCGGCAGAAUUUGAACUCAGAAUGUAAUGGCAGACAAAAUACCGCUAAGCAUUUCGUCUGGCAUGCUAAUGAUUCUGCCAGCUCGCCGCCUUAUCAAUGAAGUUUGGUAUAAGAGACAGAAAUUGUGUGUGUGUGUGUGUGUGUGUGUGUGUGUGUUUAUUCCAGUGUGGGAUAAAAACUUAUGCAUCCAAUUUCUUAUCUUACAAAAAUAAUGGUUGAUAUAGUCAACUGGAAACCUCUGAAUGUGAUGCUCUUCUACGGGUGCAGUUGAAUGAUUGAAACCAGGAGAAAAAAAGCAAAAAUGCUAUAGACACCUCAUAGCAUUAACUUUGAUAAGGUUUAUCUAUUAAAACUUGGAAGGAUGUACAAGAAAAAAAAUAACCAGAUUAGCUUAGCAGAGAUAAAAAAAAAGAACAACUUAAUAAUCACAUAACAAUCUCCAUAUCCCAAAAUCAUAUGAAAAAGUGAAUGUUGAGAAUGCAAACACGGAGCAAGUAGGAAUUAAAAACUUCUAAAGUAAUGAGUUGAUGAGUUCACUAAUUUGGUUCUGUGGAAAUUGUUGUAGAAUAAGAGGAAUACAGUUUCGUGUUAUCUAGACUCAUUCAGUUUUGACUUCUCUUCAUAAAAUGGCAGUCAGUUGACUGAUUCCUUAGAAUGUUGUAUGGAUUGCUUUGGGAUAUUCUUUGUAGAUUUCAUUUUACUCCGAGUUCAAAUAUCACUGAGGUCACUUUUAUCCUUCAUCUUUCUGGGCUUAAUAAACUGCCAGUCUUAUACUUAGGUUGUUGUUGUUGUUGUUGGUGAUGGUGGUGGUGGUAGUGGUGGUGGUGGUAGUAGUAGUAGAAGUAGGAGUAAAGGUGAUGAGGUGGCAGAAUCGUUAGCAUGCCAGACAAAAUGCUUAGCAUCAUUUCAUCCAUCUUUAUGUUCCAAGUUCAAAUUCCACCAAGUUCGACUUUGCCUUUCAUCCUUUCAGAAUCAAUGAAAUAAGUACCAGUUAUAUACUGGGGUCGAUAUAAUCAACUAGCCUUUCCUCAAAAAUUUCAGUCCUUGUGCCCCUAGCAGAAAGGAUUAUUAUUAUUAUUAUUAUUAUUAUUAUUAUUCCUUCUUUCUUCAAAUUUUCUUGUUUCUUGAUGAGUGUUUUCCGUACACCUAGGGCAGAGAAGCUCAUUGUAUGCAUUCCCAGAUUACACGUGCAAAUUCACAGGUAAAAUAUGUAUUUAAAAAAUUAAUAAAUAAAUAAAUUCAUGAAUGGAUGUUGAUUUCACACCGAUAAUGCUCUUCUCAGUACAUGAGUCGUUCCAGUUAACAUGAUUUUUUGCACUUCCUGUAGCGAUGGUAAGCCCAGUAUCAUUUUCAAAUAGGUUUCAGUGCCUUUUUUUAUCAUUCCUAGAGAUCCUACAAUCACUGGUACUGUAGUUGCCUUGAGAUGCCACAUUUUUUCAAUUUCUGUUAGCAAGUCUUUAUAUUUACUGAUCUUGUCAAAUUCUUUCGAUGCUAUAUUGUGAUUGCAAGGAAUACUCAUAUCAAUUAAUAAACACAUCUUUUUUGUCUGAUCUUUUAUAAUAAUAAUAAUAAUAAUAAUAUCCGGUUCAUUUAUUAUUGUUGUUGUUGUCUCUUUGUCACACUCUAGCUUUUCAUCCUCUGGCACAAGUUCUCCUCCUCAAAUGCCCCCUGCCCCUGUCAUAAUUCCUUGUCUUGUGAGUUACUUGGUUACCCUGCCAGUGCUGGUGCCACAUUAAAAGCAUCCAGUCCACACCGUUAUAUGGUUGGCGUUUGGAAGGAUAUCCAGCUGUAAAAAUCAUGCCAAAACUAACCUCACCUGUACUAAUGCCAUGUAAAAAGCACUGAGUCCACUCUGCAGAGUGGUUGGUGUUAGGAAGGGCAUCCAGGUGUAAAAUCCCUGCCACAACAGACACAGUAGUCUUGGGUAGAGUUUCUACUUGGCUGGCUCCUGUCAACUGUCUUACCCAUGCAUACAUGGACAAUAGAUGUUAAAUGAUGAUGAUUACUAUAUAUGUAUAUAUAUGCGUAUAUAUAUAUAUAUAUAUAUAUAUAUAUAUAUAUAUGCAAUUUAAACAGCAGCUUCUCUUUCAAACAUUAGACAGAAACCAAGAGAAUGCUGGAGGUUUAAUCUUUUUUUAUAGUAUUAUUUUCUACUUGUUUUUUUUAGUUCUUUAUUAUAUACAGAUGCAACACCCUAGCAUUAAACUAAGAACAGUUACUCACAAGUCAGCAGCUGAAUUUUAAAUGAAGCACUCGUAAAUUUAUUAGCAACAACAUCAUUCCAGUGAACUUUGCUUCAUUCAGCAAAAAUGUUGCAAUAAUCCAUAAAUGCCACCAACAACCACUUCACCCAAAAGAUGAAACUGAGAAGGUCUAUGAACAUUGCCUUCUCUUGAAAACUUUUGUUAGAAAUUAAGCAUAAAAGACUGAUAGAGACUAAGUUAAUACGAAAAACUGUUAAUCAUAAAAACUUGAGCAAAAUUGUACGUGUGGGUGUAUGUAUAUAUUUAUAUAUACAUACACACACACAUAUAUGUAUAUAAAACACACAGACACACACACAUAUUUAUUUGCACCUACGUAUGUAUCCAGGUGUACAUAUAUAUAUAUGUGUGUACACACAUACAUAUACAUAGAUAUAUAAGAUCAAAGAUUUUUUUUGUUGAUUCAAUUACAUCAUGAAAAAAACACACCUUCUUCUUCAGUUUUCUUUUGGUGAGUCACAAUUUUGAUAUUUGGUUUUUAAAAAAGUGCCAGGAUGUGGAAUGUAUGUUGACUCACUCAUUUUGGCAACAAUUCAGGGUGUAUACAAUAUAUAUAUAUAUACAUAUAGUUAUGUUUGAUAUUUUUCAGAUAUAUAUAUGUGUGUGUAUAUACAGGUUGCGUAAAAUAUUUGAGGACAGACUUAAGUUUAUUAAAAAAAAAAUAUAUAUAAUAUCAGAUAAUAAAUAUAUUUAUCAAAAAUUGCUAUGAGGAUAAAAAUAAACCUUCUUUUCUAGAAUGUUAUUCAAUAAAGCCAUCUUCAGCUUCAACAACUGCUUCUAUAGGAGAUCUAAAUCAUCUACAUGCUCAAAUCAAGUGGUCCUGCUUCACUUUCGACAUUACUCGGACCUCAAUGUAGGUAGCAGAACUCUAAGACCUUCUGGAAAGAAGUAACGAUGCAUCAAAUGUCCUUUAUUGUUGACAACCCCUAAAACCAUGACAGUUUCAGGAAAUUUUGUAUGCAUAACACCUGGAACUUCAGAAGGGUCUGCACAUAACCAUCUGUCAUUUCUUCUGUUAACUUUUUGACCUUGGUCAAAGUUUUUCUCGUUUGAGAAAAACCAAAUCAAAUCUUCUGCUUUUUUCAAUUUGUUUAAGAACCUUUUAGAUCUGAUGUAGUGAUUUUCUUUUGAUUUUUCUGACAAAUUGACCUUUCCUCAUCAUAUAAGACUUAUAUCUGAUGUUUUCGUGGACAAUAUUUCUGACUGUUCCUUCUAACACAUGGAGAUCUUUUGCAGUUGACGUCAUAGCCUUUCUGGUAUUGUAAUCAAUGGAUAAAUUCAGGUGUUCUGAUGAUUUCAGUGCGUUUAGAAUGUUUUUUAUACUUUGAUACUGGCGAUAUGUUUCCAUCUUCAAUCUCUAGCUUCUUACAAACUUUGUAGAUGAAAGAUCUGGCAACUUUUAACGGUCAAGAUAUUUCUAAAUCGCUAUGUUCAGCCUUUAUUACAACAUGCCAUUUCAUUUCUUGAUUCAAAUGAAUCCUACAAAUAUUUAAUUAUUUAUAGUUGGAAGAUAGACUGAUAGGUAGGUAGGUAGGUAGGUAGGUAGAGAUAGAUAGAUAGAUAGAUAGAUAGAUAGAUAGAUAGAUAGAUAGAUAGAUAGAUAGAUAGAUAGAUAGAUAGAUAGAUAGAUACAUAGAUAGAUAGAUAGAUAGAUAGAUAGAUAGAUAGAUAGAUAGAUAGAUAGAUAGAUAGAUAGAUAGAUAGAUAGAUAGAUAGAUAGAUAGAUAGAUAGAUAGAUAGAUAGAUAGAUAGAUUAAGGACUCCAUCAUUAUGCAUAAUUAUUUUUAAAUAAUGUAGACAUUUAAUUUAUGUUAGAUUUAAUAUUUCAAAGCAGAAAUGGAUAAUAGAAACAUCCAGAUAUUAGGUGUGUGUUACAUUGAAGACCUGGCUGUGUUUGAUUUCAACGUUUUUAUUAAUACUUUAUCAUGUUUCCAUAUUCGGUUUUUAUGUCUAGUUUGGCAAAAUAAAAAUUAUUAUUUCAAAUUAAACAUAUGAAACUAAUAAGGGAAGAUGAAAAAAAGAUCUUUAAUAAAAAAAAAAAAAAGACUUAAUUGAAACACAUUUGGGUCUUCAAUAUAACGUUUGAAAAGAAAGGUGUUCUCAUUUUACAUAAAUAUAUGCACACAUACAUACGUGCAUGAGUGAGUGUGAGUGUGUGUGUGUAUGUAUACCAUAUGUAUAUUUACAUGCAUAUAUAUGUAUGUACAUACAUGCAUAUAUGUAUAUUUCUCUGCAUAUGAAUGAUUUCCUUCCUCAUCUCCUAGAUUCUGAGAUGAAAAAAGAAAAGAAAAAUAAUAAAAAAGAUUAUAUAUAUUUUCAAUUUCUAUUUCCUUUCAAGUAAUAAGUAGAUACUAACUUACUAACUUACUACUAACAUAUCUAACUUAAAAACAAAUAAGAAUUUAUAGUUGAGCCACAAUAUUGAAAAUAGAGAGAACUAAAAACCGAACACCAAAUUCUAUAUUUUUCAGAUAUUUAUCUCACGGGAACUUCGUUUGUGACUGUUGGUGAUCACAUAAUAUUGGUGUGCAAUGUUGUGGGUGGGGACUAUAUCCCCGAGGAUGUAGAUUGGUUCAAAGAUGGCAAUGAGAUCAAAUAUGAUUCUACACGAGGGGUACUCAUAACCAGACAGCGUUCGGUGAAUACGAAGUUUCUAUCGAGUCAACUACUGAUUAAAAAAAGUAAUAUGGAUGAUGCCGGCAACUACGUUUGCCGUUCUGGCAUGGAUGUAACCAGCUUCAAUGUUGAAGUCCUUAAUGGUAGGCAAUCAUUUUUUAUGGCUUCUUUCAGCACAUUAUUAUCUUUCUAUUUCAAAACUCUCCCGUUUUUUGGUACAUCAUCAUAUCUCUCAAAACUUCUUAUUAAAAUUUUGGAAGCAUUUCUGAGAUUCAGCGUAUAGGCUUCAAGAUAUUUUUUUAUUUAAAUACCGAAUACAUCAUAUAUAUAUAUAUAUACAUAUAUAUAUAUACAUAAAUUAUAGAUCCACUAUCGGUAGAAUAAAGUAAGAGAUAAAUAUCAAUUUAAUACACAUACUGAAAGAGCAGUUUCCUACGUUUUUAAUACUUAAACUCGGCAUAUUUAUAAUAUAUGCCAUGCAUCUCCGAGCAACCUUUCAGUGUCUGUUUAUGUGUUGGAUAUAUUUUAAAAUCAAGGACACUGGACAGUGAGAAAAUAAAAAAAAAAGCAAGAAGUAAAAAACUGCAUUAAUUGCAGUUUCUGCAGUUCGGGUGGAUGGGGAUCUUCGUUUCUUCAUCACCCUUCUUCUGACAAAUUGCCCUUUCCUCAUUAUAGAAGACUUAUAUCAUCCUCCUUUUCCUUUUUUCUUAUUUUCCCACUGUCCAGCAGCCUUAUUUUUAAUAUAUAUUUAAUGCUUAAACAGAGCCUGAAAGAUUGCUUGGGGAUACAUGGCACAUUUUAUAACUAUGUCCAGUUAAAGUAUCAUAAAAGCAUGAAACUGUUAGAAGCUUUUUCAGUGUGUGUAUUAAAUUGACAUGUAUAUAUAUAUAUAUAUAUAUAUAUAUAUAUAUAUAUAUUGUAUAAAGGCUCAUGGGUAAGGCCUGAACAAUGCGAAGUAAAUGCAAGGUAAAUCACAAGAAAACAAAUAUGUGAAUUAAUGUAAACUUACCUUGUAUUCAAUAUUUUGGGGUUAUGACACCAUUUUCAAGGAAUUGACGAAUAUAUAUAUAUAUAUAUGGGGACAUGAUGUUUUGUCAACGUGAGCUGAACCAGCUUGUGUGGAAUGGAGCUGAAUGCAUUUGCCAGGUCAAGCCACAGCACAGACAGGUUACCCUUGUUCUCUCUUGCCUCUCAAAUCAGCUGUGUCACCAUACCAGUAUGCUCCACACAGCCUGGCAUUCCCGAAAUGCCACCCUCCUGGACAGAUGUAUCGAUGUAGGCGUUCUGACCCGGGUAGGCACACAGCCGUUUGGAAACAAUGCUGAAGAAGAUCUUUGCUUCCACACAAAGCAGGGAGAUGAAGGUCUACCUGGGUGGAGUUUUCCUCCUUCAGAAUCCACACCCACUCAGCCACUCUCCAUUGUUCUGGGAUCUCCCCCCUUCUCCAGAAGACUCAGAGGAUUUUCCACAGACAACAGAAUCUUGGGACAGUUCUUAUACACUUUGUAUGAAGUGCCACUCGGUCCAGGAGUAGAGCUUGUCCUUGUUCUGUGGAUAACCUCCUCCAUGACUUUCUUUAGCUGCAGCUCUGACAUGUCAAACUCCGUCUCUGGUUCCGUGGGGUCUGUGAGGAUGUUACACUCUCCCAACUCCUGCUCUCUUGUGAGGUCACUGUACGUCUGCAUCAGAUGCCAGUCUAUGUCUUCCUCUCAGGAGGCAAGGUUAACACUGCGCUUCUGCCCCAACAAGACACACAUAGAUAAAGAUAUAUAUAUAUAUAUAUAUAUAUAGUCAAUAAAACAUAUAUGAGAAAAGAUGGGCUUCUUUCGGUUUCCAUAUACCAAAUCCACUCACAAGGCUGUGGUUGGUCUGAUGCUACAGUAGAAGACAUUGCCCAAGGUGCCACACAGUGGGACUGAACCUGGAACCAUGUAGUUGGGAAGCAACCUUCUUACCACAGAGCCAUGACUUUAUAAGUAACUGAGAUGACAGAGGAAUAAACGAUUAUCUCAUUUACUUCAUUAGCUUACAGCCGUUUCUGCUUUAAGAUGCAGCAAACUCAGACUUGAGGGCCCGAGUAACACCUCAUAGCUUUGAAGUCUCAUUUUCUUAUCACCACUCUCUACUUAACUAAUGCUUCAUUCGGGAGCAUAAGUAUAUUGAGUUCUACACUAGGUUAUUACUCACAGAAUGUACACAAACACAUACACACAUAAAAUAAUAUAAACAGCCAUGCGGAAUGUGAUACCAUAAAGGAAAACUAUAAACAUAAAGGAAAACGCGACUAAGGGUAUCAAGACACCUACAUUGCUAGAAAUAAGAGCCAAAAUGCUCUAAUGCUCUAGGAAAAGCACAUAAAUGUAUACAUACAUGCUCACAGGGGCUGCAAUCACCCAGUGUAUGCAUAUGUGUGUGUGUGUACAUAUAUAUAUAUGCAUGUGUGUGUGCUUGCACACACAUACACACACACACUGAAUACAGGCAUAGCCACAUUGAGCAAAUAUGAGAACUGAGUUUUAUUCCACAGUAUAGAAUCUUGGGCAAAUGAAUAAAUUUUACAAUAGUCUCACGGGUGAUUUGAUUUGGGAGGACUGUAGUAAGGAUUGACCACAGUACCUGAAUUUUAGACAACAGAAUCUGAAUAGGGAACCAGUUUGGUGGACUGUGUCUCUGAUUUAAAAGUCCAUGUCAUUUUUGUCAUGGUUUUUCAGCCUGGAUUCAGAGUAAAUGUAUAUAUAAAAUACUCAGCCAUUUACACAUUAAUUAAAUGAUUAGGUUAUUCAAUGAUGAAACAGCUGUAUACUCAUCAUUGAAACGGAUGAAUGAUCCAGCAUCAUCCAUCCAUUUUCAUCACCCACUACUCUUUGGAGGGUCAUGGGAGAAGAGUCUUCAAGCACCUCUUCCAUUGGCUCCUCUCAGAAAAACUGUCAUUACACUUUCGUGCUGUCUUCUCAAGCAUCACUGACCUCACUAUUCGUCUACCCCGAGGUCUUCUGCCAGUUGGUUCAUCUUGAAGAAUCCAUCUUGCGAUCUUCUCCCAAGGCAUUCCAAACACGUAUUCGUUGUACCAAAGCUGUGACUUCUCAGUGUGGAGAAACAAUGGGUCAGCCUUGAGUCUUAAGGAAGGGGCAGAGCCCAUAAGCCUUGCUGUCCCUCUGAGUCUAGUGAGACUGAUGCCAUUAAUGUUCCAUUUGAACUAUUGCAGGUCAACACCUGCUGCAAAGCAUGAACAGCAAAGAAAUUCCAGAGAGCCAAUGUUCUGGAGAUGAAGGGCUGGACAUGGUGGUUAGCAUGGACCAAUAUUGACAAGAGGUAGAGAAACGAAUGAGUUGGGGGUGGAGGUACAAGACCAGCCAGCUGUGGAAUAGAGGCCUUAUUAAUGGAUAGAGAGAGGAGAAAACAUGCCUGUGGCACAGAAACUUGGGUCUAUUUAUUAGUGAUGGGGUGCCAAUCAGUCAAGUAUCCCUUCUCAAGAUGCAAUACAGGAUGUCAGUGUGCGUAACAGCAUUGCCACCCCAGAUAUGACAGUAUUACUCCAUUGUGGUCCUCACUUGAUCUUUGUGGAGUAUCAGAAGCUAUUAGGGGCUGAAAUCUCUUCUGACUCUAAAAAGAAGAGAUAGUCCUUGGAGAGUAGUCCUAACAACUCUAAGGAUGUACUUUUACAAAGAGAUAUCCUCAAUGGUAGUGGGACCCAGAAUUUGGAGUGACUGUGAGAGCUCUCCUGCUUGAUGUUAUAGAAGGAAAUGCGGUAUUGUUUUGUUGGUAUGACUAAAGUGUGAGAUUUUUUGUCAGUUAAAAGAGACAAAGCAGGUAUGUGCCACUGGAAGAUGCUCUGUCUUCAUUUAUGGAACCAAUGCAGAUUUGUGUAUCGCAUCUAAGUUAAUUGUAGAUGACACAUGGAGAGGGAAAAUGAAGAGUCAUGUUGUUAGCAUAAGCGUGAGUAUUGUUGGAUGUGGAGGUAAGUUAGUUGGGCAAGGAGUGCAUUGGAGUGGAAGGAGGAAGCUUUGAAGGGGAUUGGCUAAGGAUGUGGAGUUAAAUGUAAAACAGACAGAUAAAAUGGAGGCAGAUAAAAUAGAGCUGCUUCAAGAGUCAGCAUUUUUUAAAAGAAGAGGCAAAAAAUGAACUUACAAGAUGAGUGGAAAUUUUUUAAUAAGGAACCAAAAGGAUCAGCUGUCAUUCACGAGGCAGGGAAGUUGGAUGGCUGUGUGAUACACAAAGGUAUCCUUUGCAUAAUGAUCUUAAAGUAAAUGCACAGCUAGAUGAGAACCAGCUAGUUUGGGGGAGUGGAUGACAUUCUCCAGGCAUUGUAAGCUUGUUUCUGCCCUUACAGCAGCUGCAAUGACUACAAGUGAACCACUUGGAGGACUUAGGAUAUCAGGCUUUUGUUGUAUGGAUGAUGCACAAUAAUGUCUAAAAGAGUGGUUUCAGUCACUCAUCUAACUGCUUCUGAAGGGUCAAGAGUGGAGCACUUUUGAUGCCUCAGAAAAGUGAUAUAAAACUGGUGAAGCUUACUUGAAGUGCCAAAGGGUCUGAGGGGAUGGGGAUAUUGUGUGGUACAUGGUUGUGUGGUUGUGUGUUGAGCAGUUGUGACGAGGCAGUGGUUGAAUGACUGAUAGGGGCAAAGAUGGCUACAGUUUGAUAGAGGUUAGGUUUAGAGCUGAGAAAGUGAUAACAAGUGUUUGGAAUGUCUGCAUGAGAGUCUAGGAUGGGAGGAGAGAAUGAGACACGUCGGUGUAAAGAGCUGAGAAUAGAAACGAGUUUGGCUUCGAGAGUAGCAGCAUUGAAGUCACUGAGGAUAAUGACUCUGGAAAGGUGAGAGAUAAGACAGGUGUUGCCAAUACAGGAGGAGAGACAGUCAAAGGGUUGUGAGUGGUUUGAAUAAUUGCGAGAGAAAGAGAGAGAGAGAGCAAGAGUAUUUGAGGUAAUGUAUAUAUAUAUAUAUAUAUAUAUAUAUAUAUAUAUAUAUAUGCAUGAUGUGUGUGUGUGUGCAUGUGUACGCAUACAUAUGCUUAUGUGGCAUAGGCAUGCUUGAGUGGUUAAGGUGUUUGCUUUUCAAUCACGAUAUAUGUCUUAUACAUUAAUUUCAGUUUAAACAGUUUUGGGGAAGUGGUAUUUGAUUAAGCAUAAAUUGUGUGCUCCUCCCGUCAUACUUCACAACACUUCACUUACAGUAAUCAUCCUCUAUCAUAUCCUCCCUCUCAGUCGAGAAAGCUCUUUAGUCCUGCAAGAUACAGGGUAACCUCACUAAUGCUGGUGCCACAGAAAAAAAGCACACAGUACACUCUGUAAAGCAGUUGGCCUUAAGAAAUGUAUCCAACUACAGAAACCAUAGAAACUGAUUCACUAGAGCAAGACAUUGUUCUCUGGACUGUUGGAUCCUGUCAAACUGUCCAACCCAUGCCAGGAUGGGAAGAAGUCAUAAAAAUGAUGCUGAUGAUGAUGUGUGCAUACACGUGAGUAUUUCACUGAUGUAUUCCAGCUAAAGAUUUGAACAUUAAUAAGAAAAUCAAAAAAUCAGUACUUUUUGAACAAUGUUCCUUGUGAUACAUGUUCAGCACUGAGUCACACAGACACUCCAUUGUCUAUCUUGGUAUCAAAAAUAGUGAACCAAAGAUCUACUAUUGGAAACGUGCUGCCAACAACACUAUUGUUCACCAAAUGUGAUACAGUAUUAUAAAAAUUUUUUUAAAUAGACAACUAAGCUGAUAUGAACAUAUAACGGCAAGGCAAUAUCAAAAGUACAAUAAGUUGAUAAUGGAAAAUAUUCAUUAAAUACAUAAAAUAUGAGAAAAUAGAUUUUAAGAACUGUCAAGAGAAAGAGAAAUUGAAAUAACAUUAGUCAUUGAUUAAUGUUGUUGCUUCCCCCCCUCCCCGCUACAUAAUUAUUUCUUGUCAGUUUUUUUUUUUUAAUUGCUCCCAAGAUUAAAUAUGAUAACAUUAACGUAGCUAUUGUUUUUCCUGAAUAGGGAGUUAUUUAUUCUCUAAACCAUUCUAUAUUUCUGUACUAAUUAGUGUACAAUAUUAUUGUACAUUCAUUAAAUGAAUAUUACUUUGGGAAGUACAGUGAUGUCCAUCGUUAGCUGAUGAUGUCAAUAACGCCAAAACAUGUACUCGAUGAAAUAAUUAAAAUAAUAUUAUUAGCCACUGACAAAUAUAUUUUCUCCCUUCACCAAAGGAUUAGUUCUAGACUGCUGUUUAAUGUUCCACUCAUUGAAUAUAUUAAUAUUAAUUUGUUAACUUAGCUAUAAGAACUUUGAGAUUGACAGAUGAAAUUACAUAGGUUUAUCGCAUGUGGAGAAAUAGUGCACUGUAGAUUUUUCAAACACAUACAAACAUAUAGAAAACAAGCACUAAAUUUAUGACAGUGGUGAUGUCGAUGAUGAUGAUGAUGAUGAUGACAGUGAUGAUGACAACAACAAUAAUAAUUGUCUUUCCAAGUGCAUGAUAUUAAUUUGAAAAUGAGAUUAGAAAAUUUGGUUUGUUCCAUUGAAGAAUUUAUUAUCUGCCCUUAAAGGAAACAACAUAGUAACAAUACUUCCUCCUGGGUCUCAGUUCUUUUAUCACAGUUAUAUUUGCAAUAAUCUUUAGACUAUUUAUUAUAUUCUUACAUUUUUCUAUCUUCGUUCUCAUUUUUUUUGUUUUUCAUUUUCUUAAUUUUAUUUCUCUUUUAACUAAUUAUAUUUAAUUUUUUUCAUUCUUUUCUUUAUUAAUUUUUACUAACAGUUUUCUUUGUUUUACAUAUAUAUAUGUAUGUAUAUGUAUAUAUAUGUAUAUAUAUAUAUAUGUAUAUAUAUAUAUAUAUAUGUAUGUGUAUAUAUAUGUAUAUAUAUAUAUAUAUAUAUAUAUAUAUAUAUAUAUAUAUAUUCAUCAUUUUUGUUGUAGUCCAAGACUUGCCAAGCUAUGGAAUUAUUUAAGUAAUUUACAGAAAAUAAUGAGAUCAUGCAAAAGCUGGCCUACAGCAGUCAAUCUUUCACCAUAUAUAUUCAUAGUUGUUGAAUAUAUUCUAUUAUUAUCACAUUUCUUUAUUUCCUUUUUCUUUUAUUCUUUUUUUCUUUUUUUUUUUAUUAUCAUACUGGUACAAUUGCCUGAGAAUAAUUUGAGUUUCAAAGAAAUAUGUUCUUGGAAUUAUAUUAUGAUUUUGUUACUUGAUUUCAAAAUGCCAGUUUAAUUUUGAAGAUUUCUUUUUUAAAACUGAAAUAAUAUUAAAAUUAUCAUUGUUAUUAUUAUUAUUAUUAUUAUUAUUAUUAUUAUUGUUAUUAUUAUUAUUAUUAUUAAUAUUAAAAUAGUAAUAAAAUUACUCAUAUGGAAAUUAUUAUAGGAAGAUAAUUGAAUAGUAUAGAAAUCCAGCAAGUGUAUAUUGAAAAGAUAUUGGAACCAAUAUAAAAUAUAUACAAGUUGUUUCGGUUUAAUUUAAAGUGUUAUUAAUAUUUUAACCCUAACAACUGAAGCCCAUGGUUUUAAUAAAUACUUAAUUUUGUACUUUGAGUGAUUUCACUAUUUCAGAAAGUCAAAUACUAGAUCUCACCUAAUCUCAACCAGACCGAGACUAAAAAUUGAUGGCCUGAGAUCAAAGCCAUUCCUUGUCUACCCUAAUUGGACAAUGGUCAGAAGUUAUUACUAUUCGAUAGGUGUGGUAAAAAAAAAUAGGGUUUCAUUUCUGCUGAAAGUUAAGCAAUCAUGUCCUAUCUUAUGACCAGUGAAUUGAGAAGGGGGCCUCUAUGUGGAUACUUGGCUUCCUAGAAAUAGCAGGCAAAUUAACUUUUAAAAAGCAACUUUCAUCCUUUUGUUGGGAUCUUUAUUCUCUCUCUCUCUCUCUCUCUCUCUCUCUCUCUCUCUCUCUCUCUCUCUCUCUCUCUAUCUAUCUAUCUAUCUAUCUAUCUGUCUAUCUAUCUAUAUUUCUUUAUCUAUCUCUCCCUCUCCCUUUCUGAAGCAGAGGAGGGGGAGGAGGAAAACAGACAUCUAAUCUAAACCAUUGGACUUUCCUUCCUCACAACACAACUUUCUAUCCUUUGAAUUAUUCGAAAGACAUAACUUUCACCUGUUUCAACUCUUUGCAAACACAUCCAUAGUUAACCCAGAUUCUUCUCUUUUGCUAUCAUCAAAAGUGUUCCUAGAUUUCUUCCUCUUAAAUUUAUCUCUCACAAUCAAAGAACUAAAGACUGCUCCCAUCAAAACAUCAUCAGCAUUAAUGUCCUCUUUCCAGGUUGGCAUGGGUUCAACAGUUUAACAGGAGCUGGCAAGUCAGAAGACUGGGCUAAGCCCUACUGCCUGCCUGAUGCCCUUGCUUGUGCCAAUAACUUUACAGAGUGUACUACGUGCUUUUUUAUGUGACACCAGGACCAAGACACUCAAAAUAAAUGUUUAAAUAUUGGAGAAGUUCUUAAGCAGAUAAGGCCGAAAAUGUCGCUAGAAGCUGGGAUAACCAAGCGUAGAUUGGCAUAUUUCGGUCAUAUUAUGCGGAGAGAAUCCCUGGAGAAGGACAUCAUGCUCGGAAUGGUCAGUGGCAAGAGAGGAAGAGACCGGAAUUUUGGGAUACAGGAGUGAUACCGGAAUAGACAUGGCCAGUCUGAAGGAAGCAGCCCAGGAUAGAACUGACUGGAGGACACUGAUCCAACGAGUGACCGAGAGUCGACUUCGACUGAGCGGAUAGAGAGAGAUUUGAGAUGAGUUGUUAUUAAUAAAACUAUAUAUUUUCUAAUGAUUAACCUUGACUUUAAAGAUAACAGAUGAAGUUAAUAGUCAGAAAAAAAAAUCAUAAUUGUAUAAACUCAUAGAUUGAAUUUCUAACUUAAAUUCACUAUCUGCUUGUUACUGUUGUUAGGUCCUACAUCAAACCUGAUUGAGCAGACUUAUCAUCAAAGAGACGUGCGUGUGUGUGUGUAACUCUACACUUGUAAAAAUCAGUGGAUAAAUAAAAGAGUUCCUUACUUAAAGAAUAAGUAAAGGUUGACAAAAGGGAGUGCAUUGGACCAUAACAUAUUGCCUCAAUAAAUCUUCCUCCAGCAUGGAAAAACAGACAAGAAAUAAAUGACAUUUAUCCAUAACUCAUUUCAGUUAUUGGACUGCAGCUAUGCUGGGGCUCUGCUUUGAAGGGAUCAGCUGAAUAAAUCAACCCCAGUAUUUAUUCUAACAGUUAUAGGGAUGUGAACAAAUGAACACUAGUUGUCAAGUGAUGGUGGAAGCAAAAACAAAGAUACACACUCAUAAACACAUGUACAUGUACAUAGAUAUCUACACACACUCACAUACACACAUAUAUGUGUGUGUGAGAGUGCAUAGAUAUUUAUACAAUUAUAUACAUAUGCACACAAUUGGCUUCCACACAGUUUCCAUCUACUAAAUGCACUCACAAGGCAUUGGUCAGCCCAUGGACAGAGUAGAAAACACUUGCCCAAGAUGCUGAGCAGUGGUAUUGAACCUAAGACCACAUGGUUGCAAAUCAAGUUUCUUAACCACGUGGCUAUACCUGAGACUGAAUCACUUGUUGUUACUGUUGUUGUUCUUCUUAUUUUAUUGUGCUCGACUUCUGUCUAAAAACAUGGCAGGUUUAACAGUUCUCCACUUGUGUAGUGUUUAGAAAACGAUAUGCCUAUAAAAAGAAAUGCUUUCCAGCUUCUUUCUGAAGAUAAUGGUUCUUUCACUCUGCAUUCCAUGUUUGGAUAUCAUAAUGUCCCAGGCAAGUCUUUUAAAUGACCAUUGCUCACUGACACCAAGGAAAGAUGGAAUCGAUUUUUAAAAGGCAGGUAUUGCUUUUUGAAAUCCUAGACAGGUGAAAGGUAAUGCCCAUACCAAUGAGAUCUGAAGGUCAUAAAGCAGAAAGAUGAAACUUAAUGCUCAAUGUAAGGCAUUUAGAUGGGUGCUUUAUUGGAUCUGAAAAUGUUUCUUCUCUCUCUCUUCCUCUCUUUCUCUCUCACUCUCUCCAUCUAUCUGGUAUUCCCACUGACAAGGUAUUAACAUAUAAGCAUAUAUAUAAAUUAAUAAAUACAUAUACAUACAUUUAUGUAUAUGUAUGCGUGUCAUCAUCAUCAUCAUCAUCGUUUAACGACCACUUUCCAUGCUAGCAUGGGUUGGAUGAUUUUACUGUGGACUAGCAAACCAGAUGGCUGCACCAGACUCCAAUCUGAUCAGGGAGAGUUUCUACAGCUGGAUGCCCUUCCUAACGCCAACCACUCUGAAAGUAUAGUGGGUGCUUUUACGUGCCACCAGCUUGAGGGCCAGUCAAGCAGUACUGGCAACAGCUUUGCUCAAAUGGUGUUUUUUACAUGUCACCUGCACAGGAGCCAGUCCAGCAGCACUAGCAACGACCUUGCUUGAAUGUUUUUUCCCGUGCCACCAGCACAAGUGCCAGUAAAGCAACACAGGCAACAAUCACACUCAAAUGGCGCUUUUUACAUGCCAAUGGCACGGAGGCCAGUUUGUUGCGCUGGCAACGAUCUCACUCGUAUGGUACUCUGAGCGCUCCAUUAGCACGGAUGCCAGUCAUCGAAUUUGAUUUUGAUUUCACUUGCCUCAACAGGUCUUUGAAAGCAAGGGAAAGGUAUGCAUAAGGGGGCUGGUUACACCCCUGGCAUAGGCCACGAGGUUAUGGUCUCACUUGGGCUUGCCAUAUAUAUAUAUAUAUCUUAUAAAUACAAAUUGAGAUAGGGGUUGUAAAUGCAACCCACCAUGGGAUACCAUAUAUCCAAUAUACUGCUAGUGAGGUACCCAACAAAGUUAAUCUUAUAUAUAUAUAUAUCUUAUAUAUAUUUAUCUUUUAUAUAUAUAUUAUAUAUAUAUUUAUUUAUUUUAUAUAUAUAUAUUUAUUUUAUAUAUAUACACACUGAUAUAUAUUUUCAUAUACUUACAUGCAUAUAUAUGCAUACAUACAUAUUUAUAUAGUCACAUACACACACACAAACAUGCAUAUAUAAACACAGUUCUUGACAUUUUAAAUGCAAAAAUAUUCACAUGGAUAUAAAAUUUAAUGUUAUUUUCUUUUUUAAUUUUAAAUAUUUUAAUAAGUCUGUAUCUUAAUUUAUUGGCAUUUCAAUAUAAAAUAUACUGAAAAUACAAGUAAACAACUUUAUUACCUCCCUUCCUGCCUCCCCUCUAACAACGACUCCUCCUACCCCCUACCCCCUGCCAGAUAUUCAUGAGAAAAUAUUCCAACUGACGACUAUUUGCUCUCUGAAAUCCGAAGAAGAUUUAUUUACAUUAAUUUCCCCUUCUUUAUCAUUUUUUUCUUCUUGUAAAUUCCUUUGCUGCAGUUAGUCCAGUAAAUUGAUUUGCUGAGUAACAAAAACAAACUCACAAACAUUCAAAAGCAGCAACUAAUAGACAUAACAAACAAAUUCCAAAAGAACCAGAAUCAUUUCAAGACAUGGUCGUUAUUAUUUGAUUGGAUAUGAGGAAACUGCAGUCUAUAUAUGUAUCUAGGUAUGCAUAUGCAUAUCUGUGUGUGUGUGCAUGCAUAUAUAUAUAGCUGUGUAUAUGCAUAUAUACAUAUAUAUAGGCACAGGAGUGACUGUGUGGAGAGAAGCUUGCAACCCAACCACAUGCUUCUGUGUUCAGUCCCACUGCAUGGCAUCUUGGGCAAGUGCCUUCUACUAUAGCCUCAGGCUGACCAAAGCCUUGUGAGUGAAUGUGGUAGACAGAAACUGAAAGAAGCCCAGUGUGUAUAUAUAUAUAUAUAUAUAUAUAUAUAUAUCUGGAGGUCUUAGAAGACAACUGGAGGUCUCUAAGGGACAACCUGCUGAGAGCCACUGACCAGAUCUGUGGCUGGUGCAAAGUCCCCUCUCAACCCAAAAUAAUGUGGUGGUGGAACAAUGUUGUAGACAGGGCUAUUAGAGAAAAGAGACAGGCUUGGAAGGACUGGAAAAAUGGGGGUAGCAGGGAAUUGUAUCAGACUACCAAAAGAGAAGCUAGGAGACAGGUUUAUUUAGCCAGAGGGGAAGCAGAUAAGAAAAAAUUUGCCAAUGUUCUGCGCCAUGAGGACCAAAGACUUGAGGCAUUUCGUGUUGCAAGACAGUGUGUGAGAGAGAAUCGUGAUGUGGUAGGAGAGAAAUGUGUUCACAUGGAUGAUGGCUCAUUUGCACUGAAUGAGGAUGCAAAGAGAGAGGUUUGGAAACACCAUUAUGAGAGGCUGCUAAAUAAGGAAAAUGAAUGGGAUAAAGAGAGUCUGCUGAAUGUCGACCCAACAGAGGGACCAGCUAUCCGAGUUGACAGUUCCUUAGUAGUUAAGGCAAUUAGAAGCAUGAAGACAGGGAAAGCCCCAGGCCCAUUAGGAAUUACUGCAGAGAUGCUUAAAAUAUCUGGUAGUGUCGGCUAUAGCCUAGUCACCCAUAUAGUUAACCAGGUGAUACACGAAGGAGUCAUACCCAAUGACUGGUGUAGCAGCAUGAUAGUCAACUGCUACAAAGGUAAAGGUGACGUUUUAGAUACAAAUAAUUACAGAGGUAUCAAGCUUUUGGAUCAGGUAAUGAAGGUUACGGAGAGGGUCAUAGCCCAACUGAUUAGGGAGAGAGUCAUUUUGGAUGAGAUGCAGUUUGGUUUUGUGCCAGGGAAAAGCACCACUGAUGCCAUAUUUCUGGUGAGACAGCUGCAGGAGAAAUACCUAGCCAAAGAUAAGCCCCUGUACCUGGCUUUCGUUGACAUGGAGAAAGCCUUUGACAGGGUCCCCCAAUCCCUUAUCUGGUGGUCAAUGAGGAAACUAGGGAUAAAUGAAUGGUUAGUGAGAGCUGUGCAAGCCAUGUACAGAGACGCUGUAAGUAAGGUGAGGGUUGGCAACGAGUACACUAAAGAAUUCAGGGUAGAGGUAGGGGUCCACCAAGGUUCAGUCCUCAGACCCCUCCAUUUAACAUAGUCCUCCAGGUAAUAAUGGACGAAUUCAAGACAGGAUGCCCCUGGGAGCACCUAUAUGCUGAUGACCUUGCUCUAAUUGCUGAGUCACUAUCAGAACUAGAGGCAAAGUUUCAAGUGUAGAGACAAGGAUUAGAAUCGAAGGGCCUUAAAAUCAACCUAGCUAAAACCAAAGUCCUAAUAUGUAGGAAGGAAGGCAAAUCACAAACGCCUUCAGGUAGAUGGCCCUGCUCAAUCUGUAGAAAAGGCGUAGGUAGAAACUCUAUAAGAUGCACAAAGUGUAAGCUAUGGACACAUAAGAGGUGCAGCAAUGUCAAAGGAAGGCUAACUAGGAAGAUAGUUUUUGUAUGUGGCAGAUGCUCAGGAGCAAUAAACACUGAAAAUGCUCAGAGACCAACGUCCGCCACAUUCCAGACUCGAAUGGCCAGAGGAGAUGUUAUGUGCCUCUGGCCAUUUGUCUCACGAGUCACCUAUACAUUGAAGUGCUUCUGCUAAAUUAGUGUGGGCAUGUGUGUAUGCAUAUAUAUAUGUACUGUAUGUAUGUGUGUAUGUGUGUACGUAUGUAUGAUGGUUGUCUGCUCAAUAUAAAACUUGAGGAUCUUGAAAUGUAAGAAAUUUGUUUACCAAAUACAUGGUUCUUGGUUCAGUCCUACUGUGUAGUACCCUGGGCAAGUGUCUUCUACCAUAAUCUUAGGCUGACCAAAGCUUUAAGAGUGGAUUUUGUAGACAAAAACUGAAAGAAUUUCAUCAUGGGUAUAUACAUGUAUGUGUGUGUGUGUGUGUUGUGUCAAAACCAGGCAAUUUCCUUUUGCAUAACCAUUCACUACCUCUUGAAUCUUUAUUGACUUUUUGCAGUAUUUCACUUCUGCCAAAAGCCACAACAAACCAUCAAGGUAGACACUAAAGUCCAUAACCAUCUCCAAUCUAUCACUUACAGUUGAACAAAGUGCUGCACACAUCUGGUGCUUUUAUUAGUUAUGUGGGCCUUAGAAAACCUUUUCUUCAACUUGUUUCUGAAAAGUUUUUGUCAGGAUGAAUGAUGAGACUACAAGGAAAUGACACCUUCGUUACCGAUGAAGAUAUAUCUUGGAAUGCAUUUUUUGAUAAUAAUUAUUCAGCUUCCAAAUUACAGAGACUUCUGGGACACGAAUUCAUCUGUCUGAGACAGGAAAUUGAUAGCAGAAAUUAAAUCAGUUUACCUGUAUUCAACCUACCUGGGCAGGUGACAGUGAUAUGACAACAGGUAAACAUAAACAGCAAGAAGUAACCCCCCCCCCCCACCUUCACAAUGUACACUAACAACCAUUACAUCCUAUCACCAAGUUUCAUCCAAAUUCAUGCAACUGUUAUAUUAUGAUUUUUAUACUAGAAUAGUUGCAUUUCAUUAAAAGCCCUAGUUUCUAACAGGGAGAUUUAUAUAGAGAAAGCCCCACAGGAAUUUAAUGGUUUAAUUCCAGAUGAAACUUUGCCCUGACAUUGCCAGUCUAUUUUCAGUUUAACAUUCUGAAGUAGUUGGCAUUAGGAAGGGCAUCCAGCUGUAGAAACAUUGGCAAAGCAGACAUUGAAACUAGUGCAGUCCUCUGGAUCAUCAGUUCAUGGAGAACCCUCCGAACCAUGCCAGCAUGAAAAAGAGAUGUCAAAUGAUGAUGAUGAUGAUGAAAUUGGUUUCAAUGCAUUUAGCAUUUCCAAUAACAAUAAGCAUUCAAGAGAUUUACAUCUUUUCUUCAUAAACCAGAAUUUUCUCACAAAUAAUUGUAUAUAGCUCCUUCAAGGGUACACUCAUUUCUUAAUAUGAACAUAAAAAUAAUAUAUAACAAGUCACAUGAUUGAUAUGUAACAAGUGUAUAACAAAUGAUAUAAUUUCAAUGAUGUUCUCUUCAAGACUGCACUUUAGGUAUAAUCCAUUUGCAGUUAUACCAUCUCCAGAGUAAAAAUCUUCAGAAAAAAACUACAUCCUCAAAAGAAAUUAUGUAUUCUAUAAUAAAACUUGAAAUGCAUAUAUUUCCAACAAUCUUGUGGUUACAAAGUUUGUUUCACAACCACAUCAUUUCAGGUUUGAUCUCAGUGUGUGGCACCUUUGGAAAAUGCUUUGGGAUAAUGAAUACCUUGUAGGUGAAAUUUUAUAUAUAUAUAUAUAUAUGCAUGCACCCACACUUCAUUAAUUGUAGUUAAAUGAAGAAGACACUUUUCAAAUUAGUACUCAAGGUAUUUAACAUAAAGCAAAUAUUGAAUUUAUCUAUCUAUCCAUCUCUCUCUCUCUCUCUCUCUCUAUAUAUAUAUAUAUAUAUAUAUAUAUAUAUAUAUAUAUUGUGGAGGCACAAUGGCCCAGUGGUUAAGGCUGUAGACUCACAGUCAUAGGAUCGCGGUUUUGAUUCCCAGACCGGGCGUUGUGAGUGUUAUUUUAGCAAAACCACCUAAAGCUCCACGAGGCUUUGGCGGUGGUGGGGGGGAUCUUGUUGUACUCUUUCACCACAACUUUCUCACACUCUUUCUUCCUGUUUCUGUUGUACCUGUAUUUCAAAGGGCCUGCCCUGUCACACUCUGUGUCAUGCUGAAUCUCCCCAAGAAUUACAUUAAGGGUACACAUGUCUGUGGAGUGCUCAGCCACUCGCUCAUUAAUUUCACAAGCACAGGCUGUUCCAUUGAUCGGAUCAACUGGGAUCCUUGUCAUCACAACUGACAGAGUGCCACAUCAUAUAUAUAUAUAUAUAUAUAUAUACUUUAAUUAUCACAGUCCAGCCAUUUAACCAAAGGACUUGUUAAGUGGGACAUCUUUAUUUUCUUAGUAUUAUUUACAGAUCAGGAGUGCAUGUCUCAACAAAGUCAAACCAGCAUGCAAUAAUUAAAGCCAUCAAAAACAGAGAAAUUGCAAAGAAUUUUGGGAUACAUUAAUACUAAAAUAUAUUCCCAAAAUCAAAACAAAUGAGAAAUUAUAUUCCAAUUGCUUAACAGUAAAUAACUGAUACAGGGAAAGCAGCUUCUCUCUUGUAUUGUCAAAAUGUUGUGUGGCAAUCAAGAUGGUCCAGAAAGAUUGAUCCAAAUUAAAUAUGAAAAUAAUGACUAUUAUAUUAUUGGAGUUACCAAAAAAUGAUGAUAUAUUGCAGCAAUAAGGCUGGUGAAUAGUGAUAAAAUGGUGAAUAGUGAUAAAAUAGUGGUAAAAUGCAUUCCAAUCUCACAAUAUUCCAAUAUUAGAUAGAAAUAAUUUAACCUGAUUAUCUACAUUAAAAUAUAGGAAUAAGAAUUAAUAUCUGAUUCCAUGCUAAUAUCUUAUAUUUAAUAUUAUAUAUGUAAUUCAAAAUCAUUUAUGAUUGAGAGGUACUCAGUACAAUGUUGACUGUUAAGAUAAAUUAGAUCCAAGAGAAAACUAUGGUGUUGUUAAUAAUAUAUUUCUUAUUAAUAUUUGGCAGGAGUAACAGUGUGACUCAUGGAACCAGAGUUUCAUGCAUUAUCACGUAUCAAACUUUAAUAAUUGCUAACACACAAAACUCUUGUCUCUCAAGUCACUCUACUACUUCUGCCAUAGAUUAAUAAAAUAUAUAUUUUACAUUCGAGAGAGGUCGUUGCCAGUGCCACUGGAUUGGCUCCUGUGCAAGUGGCAUGUAAAAAACACCAUUUGAGUGUGGCCGUUGCCAGUACUGCCUGGCUGGCCCUCUUGCCAGUGGCACGUAAAAGCACCCACUACACUCUCGGAGUGGUUGGUGUUAAGAAGGACAUCCAGCUGUAGAAACUCUGCAAAAUCAGAUUGGAGUCUGGUGCAGCCAUCUGGUUAGCCAGUCCUCAGUCAAAUCGUCCAACCCAUGCCAGCAUGGAAAGUGGACGUUAAACAAUGACGAUGAUGAUGAUAUUCAUGUUUUGAGUCAUAUUUUUCCAGUUUGCCUCACCAAACCGUUGGAUGACUGAAACAAAACAAAAAGAAUAAAAGAAUAGAAAUUAUGCAACACAGCAAUGAAAAAUGAGAAAUCCACAAAAUAACAUAAAAUUAUAAUAAUUCAACAAGGUGGUAACAGAAGUUUGAAAUGAGGUUACAAUGUAAAUAAUAUAAAAAUAUGAGGUAAUGAUAACUCUCUAAACCAAAUGAUAAUAUAAGUUGGAAACGAGAUUAUAUUGUGAAUGACAGAUUGAAAUAAUAAUAAUAAUAAUCUAGUGUUAAGCAGUAAAGACAGUGUGAAAUGAUAAGAGAGUGUGAACAAGUAAGACAGUGUGAAAUGAUUCUGUUGCAUAGUAGUGUUAAAUGCUAAAAUAAAAGAGGAUGAUAAUCGGAUGAUAUACAAUGUAAAAGAUACAGAGAUUAAGGGAUAGGCAAGAACUAUAAACGUUAAGAAAAUUCAAGAUGGAAUUGUGUCCAAUUGAAAGUCAGUAACUAGUAUCUUUUGGUUCUGUCAUUUCUUGAGUUGAAAAAAUGUUUUUGAAAUUCAUUUACAUCAUAUAUACUUUAUACUGGUAUCCUGCAAACUUGGAGUUUUUUUUCUUUUUUUACUUAGAAGUGGAUACAAGCUGCUUCCUCCGACAUAGAUGACACUGUGUUCCUUUACCUCUGUAGGAUAAUGGCUUAGCCAAGUUUUUUCCUCUGUAGGUUGUAUCCUAUGUCAGUAGCCUUCAACUCCCAGCAAUAACUUGAUAGAGCUGUUGUAUUCCUCCUGGGGGGCGCGGGGGUUCAUAGAAGAGCUAGUUUUAAGAUUGCACUGGUAUACAAAGGCUUUUUUCUUGGUAAUGGGUCAAACUCUGGAUCAAUACAACUGCAACCAGAUCGGUAUUUCUUGUAUUAUUGGUUUUUAUUACAAGAUCUCUUACCAUCUGUAUCUAUUUCACUUAGCUACAUCUGCUGAAGCAAUAUUUUCAGAGUUGAGUAAUAGCAUUGUGCAUGUUUGUAUGUAUGUAUGUAUGUAUGUAUGUAUGUAUGUAUGUAUGUAUGUAUGUAUGUAUGUAUGUAUGUGUGUGUGUGUGUGUGUGUGUAUGUAUGUAUGUAUGUAUGUAUGUAUGUAUGUAUGUAUGUAUGUAUGUAUGUAUGUAUGUGUGUGUGUGUGUGUGUGUGUAUGUAUGUAUAUACUUGUGUGUUUGUGCAUGCAUGUAUGUAUGUAUGCAUGUAUGUGUGUUUGUUUCAUAUGUUUGUCUGUGUGCACACAUUCGCAAUUAGUUGUGUGUUUGAUGAGUACAUGUCUUAUCAGUGUGUCUAAGUGUAGUGUUUGUAUGCAUGUGAUUUCGUCAUGUUUGUUAAUAUGUUUGUGUGUUUGUUGUACAUAUACAUGACUUUUGAUUGUGUUUCCAUGAAGGAGAUAUAAAAUUAUUUUCCUAUAUUGAUUAAAUAAGGAACAAAAUAUUCUUCCACCUUGAAGGUUUCAGGGCCCAGAAAAGUACUGAAAGAGAUUUUUGUGUGACAGGGGACUGUUUUUGCAAACCUUUGUUGCAUGCUCAAACAAAACUACAGAAUAUAUAUAUAUAUAUAUAUAUAUAUGCUGGCCAUUGAUAGAAUUUUUUUCGAAAAAUUUUAUCCUACAUUAAAUGUUUAUAUAUAUAUAUAUAUAUAUAUAUAUAUAUAUUCAUGUGUGUGUGUGUGUAUGUGUGUGUGAGAGAGUGAGUGAGUGAAUGAAUGAGACACUGGAGCAAGAUGCAGUCCUUGAACUUGUCAAAUCCUGUCAAGCCAUGCCAGCAUGGAAAAUGAACACUAAAAGACAAUGAUAUCAAUAUACAUACAUACAGUGAAGGCAUGUGGCUUAAUGGUUAGAGCACUCACCUCACAACAGUAAGGUUGUGAGUUCAAUUCCCAGUGACGUGUUUUGUACUUGAGCAUGACACUUUAUUUCACGUUGCUCCAGUCCACUCAGCUGGCAAAAACGAGUAGUAUCUAUUUUUCAAAGGGUCAGCCUUGUCACACUCUGUCACGCUGAAUCUCCCUGAGAACUAUGUUAAGGGUACACAUGCCUGCGGAGUGCUCAGCCACUUGCACGUUAAUUUCCAUUGACUGUAUCAGCUGAGACCCUCAUCGUCAUAACCGACAGAGGGCUCCAUUUGGAAGCGCAAUGGCCCAGUGGUUAGGACAGCAGACUCAUGGUCAUAGGAUCACAGUUUCGAUUCCCAGACCAGGUGCUGUGAGUGUUUAUUGAGUGAACACACUUAAAGCUCUACGAGGCUCCAGCAGGGGACAGUGGCGAACCCUGCUGUAUUCAUUCACCACAACUUUCUCUCACUCUUUCUUCCUGUUUCUGUUGUACCUGUAUUUCAAAGGGCCAGCCUUGCCAUACUCUGUGUCAUGCUGAAUCUCCCCAAGAACUACAAUAAGGAUACACAUGUCUGUGGAGUGCUCAGCCACUUGCACUUUAAUUUCACAAGCAGGCUGUUCCAUUGAUUGGAUCAACUGGAACCUUUGUCGUUGGAACCGAUGGAGUGCCGUACUAUACAUAUACAGAGAGAGAGAGAGAGAGAGAGAGAAAGAGACAUACACAUUGCCCUGUGGUGAAGAAUUUCACUUCCCAAUAUCAUGAUUCUGGGUUCAGUUACACUGUGUGACACUUUGGGCAAGUGCCUCCUACAUUAGAACUGGUUUCACCAAAACCUUGUAAGUGAAUCUGAUCGAGAGAAACUGAAAAAAGCUCAUUGUAUAUUAAUGCAUGUGUGUGUGUGCGUGUGUGUGUUUUGACAUUGUAUGGUGGUUGUAAAUGAGAAUCACUGUCAUACAAGCAGUGUCUUUUAUUUCCAAUCUUUCAUAGAAACAUGUUCAGCCAUAGGGAAAGUAACACCUUUCUUGGAAAAAGGUGAAUGUUGGUGACAAGAAGGGCAUCCAGCUGUAAAAGAUCUACAUCAACAAAUUCCAUCUAACCUCUGCAAGCAUGAAAAAGUGGUCAUUAAAGCAGAGCUGGUAGAGUACAUAACUAUAAGGAUGUAUAUAUAUAUAUAUAUAUAUAUUAGUGUUUGUCAUUUUUGGUGUGGUGGAGGAGAAACAACAAAUAUCAUUUGCUUGUUGCUCUGUCUACUCCCACCACUACCCAAAUACAUCCAACACCUGUUAACUCCUACAUCAUUAUAAUUUCAAAUAAAAUCACCAAUAUUACUAAAUGAUUAGUGAAGUGGAAAUUGACAAUCUAGACUAUAAAGCGAAAUAGUAAAUUCAUGUGUGUGUGUGUGCAUGGCUGUAUACAUUUGUGAAUAUGUAUACAUGUAUGUGUAUAUGUAUAUUUAUAUAUAUAUAUAUAUAUAUAUAUAUACACACACGCACACACACACACACACACAAACGUGCACACUAUACAUAUGUGUAAGUUUAUAUACAUCAUACAUACACUCACAUAUGUGCAUACAAGUAUGUGCGUGUAAGUGUAUUUUCAGAAGAUUUUGUGAAUAUUUAUCUACAUUAUUAUUUCUUCUACUACUACUACUGCUACUUCUUCUUUACUACUGUCUCCUCUUACUUCUUCCCCACCUCCUACUUCACAUCUGCCUUCUUUAUGAACAUGUGUGUGAGAGAGGGAAAGAGAGAGAGAGAGAGACUAUUGGUGAAAUAUUUUUAAAUUUUCAAAAUUCUGUAUAUCUAAAAAUCAAUGAGAUAUGGGUAAUUAAAAGCAACUGAACAGUAAAUUUCGUAGAAUUUAUUUUCAAGAGAUCAAGCUUCCAACAGAUUCUCUCAAGCAUCUUGCCCAAAUGGCAUUAUUUCUUCAUAAGUUCUCUGAAGUCUGAAAAACCAUUAAAACUGCAAAGAUGGAAAAGCUACAAAACCGAAUGAUAUACUAAGAAAAGCAUUAAAAGCAGACUUUCAUGUCUCAAUGAGGAUUCAUUACCACUAUCUCUUUGAAAAGCUGUGACACAAGAAGACAACGAAACAACGGAAUGGAAACGAGGUUAUCAGGUCAGGGUUUUUAUGCAAAGAAAUUUUUAUAACUCUAUAGACAACAAGAGAAACCACCCUGUUUUCAAUGCCUAGAAAACUAUCAUUCUAAACAUCGAAGAUAACACUCAACUGCACAUAAGAGAGCCACAAGAAAGCUUUCUGCAAAUCUGGACAUUUUAACAUUUUGCAUCAGAACAGAGAAAUUUCUAGAAUAAAACUUGUUCAACUAUACCAAAUUUAUUGAUUUAGAAAACGUUUUUCACUGUAAAGAAAGUAACAUUGGAUAUCUGGUAUGUCUUCCUUAUAACAAGUUCUUAGUUCAUGAAAUAUUUACUGAGUUGGCAAAACUUUCCUUAUAAUUUUGGUCUAAAUCUCCAUAACAGCUAAAAGAGCCAUUACAAGCAUUUUUAAAGGAUCCAGCCAUAUUAUAGGAUUUUCCAAUUCAUGAAAAUUUCAAAAAGGCUGAACAACCAAAACAUUUAAGGGGUCUUUAUCUAUACUUCUUUCUCAAUAUGCUUAUUUUUGUAGUUCUUGUGUUUUAGUUUUUUGUUGUUGUUGUUGUUUUUGCACAAGGAUUAAUUAGAUCCAGUCCUCAAUCAGUCAUUCUUUAUCCAUUUUACACAAAUGUUUGAAACUGUUUAAAUAAAUUAUCUUAUUCUGUAAACUUUCCGAACAUAAAAUAGAUAUUCCCUAAAGAACUAAAAAAAGGAGGGGGGGCAUUCAGAGAUAUGGUUGUUAUUUUAAGCAGGUCAAACAACCACUUUGAAGAUUUGUCAUUACAUCAUGGCCAUGGCAGUGGUAGAGGAAAUGACUGUUCAGACUUUGGUCCGUUCUCAUUAAGAAACCAUAUGCUCAAAUCUAUUCUAGCCAUACCACUCGUUUUGUUCUUCAGACAUAAUGGGUUCUGGAUUACUAUAUUCAAUGUAUUUGUUCUUUUAUUUUUCUUUUAAUAUGGUAGGAUGUAAAUUUGAUUUGAUUGCUAUUUCUAGCAGGUCAGACCACAAUAUUAAGGGUCACUUAUUGGCACAUUGACAAAAAUGUUGCUAAUGAUAACAAAUAUUUUCUAUGCUUAAAUUUUGGUUGCUUUUCCUAAUAUUAGGAGCAACCAUUUAUAAGCUUUCCUCUUGGCUUUUCAUGACCCCCUCCCCUUCCAUUAAGUUUCUGGCUACUGGUUGUCAUAAAUUAUCUUCACUAAUUUUUGUUUGCAGUUUAAUGCCAUGUCAGCUCUGAUUAAGCCGACUAAUGAUUAAGAGUAUUCCAACCAUAAUUAUCUUGCUUUUUUUUUUUUUUGUAUAUCUAAGACUACACUGUCCAAUGUGCCCUUCUGUCUUUACAACAAUAAGAUCAUAAAAAUUUGAAGGAGAUUCAGCUGCUAUUUCUCAUAGGUCAAGUAACUGAGAUUCUGGUUAGUUUUCCAUGCUGGCGUUUAUUUAUCCACAUUGCAUGUGAUAUCACUUUUUUUCUUAUAGGCAUUUCUCUCACUCUUGCCUCCUUAUAUCUCUAUUAUCACUGACAUGUCAUCACAUCUCUUGGAAUAAAGCACAUUGCUUUACUGGUGUUUCCUGUUCAUGACAAUAACUGCUGUUGAUUCUCUUUCGGCCUGGAAGCUUAAAAAGAGAUUUUCUUUUUUAUUCCAAAAUAUAAUGAAAGCAUUGAUUGUGUUAGCCAAUGCCUCCCCACUUAUGAUGAUAAGUCAAUGAGAGAGUUUGUAUGUAGUAGCACCACUAACUAGAAAUACCAGCCAAUUCUUCCUCCAAUAACACCCGACCAUCAAAAAGAGGGAAUAUAUAGCUGUUUGGUCUUGAGCAGUGGUUCAAAAACUAAUUUUAUCAUUUUCUAUAAUUUUCCAAAUAUUACUGACCCUUCACAACUAUAUUUCACACUCAAUCUUUGCCAUUUUAUUUUUAAGAAGAAAUUAGAUAAAACAAAAUUUGUUUUAGAAAGAGAAUUUAUUCAUAUACAGAAAGAAAACAUAACUUGUUUUGAAAAUGAUUAAUAGCACUUCCCCCUCCAAAAAAAAGGCUUGUUAAAAUUUCUAUUGAAAGAUACCUCUUUUUAUGGAACCCCAGAAUUUUUACACAGGGGUUCUUGGAAUCCACUUUGGGAAACACUUCUAGAGGAACAUGUUGUACUCCUGUGCUUCAUAGGCCUUAAACUCAAAAGAUGGACUCAAUGUCAUCAGUGAAUAAUGAAUCCCUUGCAAAAAUGAUGGAAUACCUUAGAUUAUAAGUUUGCUUUGGAUCAGAGCUGACCUGGGGCUACAAACAACAACUUACAUAAAGUUUGCAAAUGCCAUCAUGUGAAGAUCAUUCUAAUAUUUUGAGCAAGAACUCUUUCUCUAAUGAAGUACCCUGAUUGAAACAUUAGAAUUCACAAAUAGAAUUAUCAAUACAGACAGUAGUCUCCUAGGAUUCGAGUUCAUUUUUCGUUCUUUUACCUUUUUUUUUUCCUUUUACUUCUGAUUCUUCAUUCUGGGUUUUCCAUCAAUAACCUUCUUUUUCACUUCCCCUCUUUUCACUCCUUCCUAUUUCUCCCUCUUCUUUCACUCUCUCUUUCUCUCUCUCUGGUGCAGUCAUCAAUAAUAAUUAAUGUUUCUAUCUGUAUAUCUAUCAAUCUACUUAUCGAUCUGUCUAUCUGUAUAUCUAUCAAUCUACUUAUCGAUCUGUCUGUCUGUAUAGCUAGACACACAUGAGCCUAGGCAGUACAAUUUCAGUUCAUCAAAGAUGAAUAGUUAAUCCCUGAGAUUGCACAACUCAACAUACACUAUGACUUCAUAUCAGAAUUAAACAGCAGUUAUGAACCUCAGGAAAAGAUGGAAUAAUCAACACAAGUUACCUCACACCUGUAUAAGCUCAGUCUCAUUUAACUAACAUUUACUCCAGGAAUCUCUCCAAAUUAUUGAUUUCUCUCAUCUUUGUAUCGAUUUCUCACAUAAAUAUUAUCUGAACUAUUGUUUGUGAAACACGAUCAGUUUAGAUAUUUAAACCAUGGUGACCAUGUUAAAUAUAAAAAUUGAAUUAGUAAUGUGUCUGUCGUUUCUAAAAUUAAAUUUGAAACACUGUCUAAUUUUCUUUACUUUUUCUUUCCUUUUUUUUUUUUUUUUUUUUUGCUAUUUUGAAAUAUUAGAACAAUAAUCUUGGUUUUGGGUUAUAUUUUUUUUUGUUUUUUUUAUCUCUUUCUUUUUCUAUAAAACACUCAGAAAUAUACCUUCUGAAUAAAAAAUUUUAAAUUUUCUGACUGAAACAGAAAACCAUUUUUCUGGGUGUUUUUUUAUUAUAUAUGUUUUUUUUUUUUAUUUCAUUUUUUUUUUUGGUAUAUUAUAUUUCAAUAAUGCGGCAAAUUGGUGGAGUUAUUAGAACAUUAGAUAUCAUGCCUUGAAUUAGUAAUGUGUCUGCGAUUUCUAAAAUUGGCUUUCUGUACUCAGAGUUCAAAUUUUGCCAAGGUCAACUUUGCCUUUCAUUCUUUUGGGGUCAAUAAAUAAAGUAUCGGUCUAGAAUUAGGCAAUCAGAGAAGAUGUCUUGUGGUAUCUUCCCUGGUUCAUCUUUUUAUCCUCUUUAGUUCAAAUGUCACAUAGGUGCUGAUAGCCUGAGAUAAUUUCUUAACCACAGGGGUAUCCCAUCCAGCCCACAGUUGGCCAGCAUAAAUGGGUAGGCCUACAACCAGCAACAGUAAGCUAAAACUUUUACUCAGUAGUGGAUCAAAACCAGCUGAAUGGAAUGGAUUAAAUAUCUCACUGUUGCUAUAGUCCCAGGUCAGUAUUUAUCAAGUAUACCUUGAUAAAUACUGCAUUUUGUCUUUAUAUAUAUAUAUAUAUAUAAAUAUCAAAAAUAUAUAUAUAUCAAAUAUAUAAAUCAAAAAUCAAAAUCAAAUUCGAUGACUGGUGUCCAUGCUAGCAGGGUGCAAAGAGCACCAUCCGAGCGUGAUCAUUGACAGAGCGGCUAACCGGCUUCCGUGCCAGUGGCACUUAAAAGGCACUGUUCGAGCAUAAUUGUUACCAGCGUCACCUUACUGGCACUCAAGCCCCAUGCUUGUAGAGUAUUAAGAGCACUAUCUGAGCGCGAUCAUUGCCAGAGCGGCUAUCUGGCCUCCGUGCCGGUGGCACGUAAAAGCACCCACUACACUCUCGGAUUGGUUGGCAUUAGGAAGGGCAUCCAGCUGUAGAAACUCUGCCAGAUCAAGAUUGAAACCUGGUGCAGCCAUCUGGUUCGCCAGCCCUCAGUCAAAUCGUCCAACCCAUGCUAGCAUGGAAAGCGGACGUUAAACGAUGAUGAUGAUGAUAUAUAUAUCCCAAAUUUCAUUGUCCAAUGUAUCCUUCUAAAAAUGGUAUGUCAUGAUAUAAAAGGCAUUUGGUGUUAUGUCUAGCAGAUCAGUUGACUGCAUAGAAUUUCCUUUGUUGACUCCUUUGUUGUUCAAUCAGCCAUGUGAUUACAUUUAAAGGGACUUGUUCUUUGGACAACUUCUGAUUUUUUGGCUUUUACUGUAAACACAUCCGUAGGUUUGGUGAUUGUCCACCACUUACACUACAGCUUCAGAGAACAAUUACUGGACAAAAUGCAGUGUUUAACGUCUUUAGUUUAUGAUAUUAGAGAUUAUAAGAAGCGAUUUGAGACAAAAAAAUUAGACAGGUCUACUGACAGGGUUCGAGCCUUGUACCUGUUGCUUACAAGAUGACUGUGUUACCCAUUAUACCACAGAUGGCCAACUCUUUCAUUUUCUCUAAUUAUACAACAUAAUUUGUUUCUGCUAUUUUAACUGUAUUAUUUUAUCUCCAUAGUAUAAUUUAGUCACCUAGCACUAGUAAGAUAGGUUAUUUUACUAAAGUCAAGCACAACGAGUCCUGUUAGUGAGUUUGUUACAUCUAUUUUUUAAGACUCAUAUUGCUGCUAAUAAUGUCUAAAUUAAUUUACAUUAAAUUCUGGGCAGUAAAUUCAUGCUUCUUUUAUCUUCUGACUUGCCUUUAUUUUUUUUCUUUAUCUAUGAUAGAAAAUUCAUUUAUUUCAAAACAAAAAGCAAAAUGGGAUAUCUUUCUCCACACUAUGUUCUGUCUGUUUUUCCUGACUUAAAUCUUUCAAUCUUGAUUUUAUUUUACUCACCUCAUCCUAAAGAAUUGUCCCAUUUAUUCUUUGUAGGCCCAUCCAUAAAUUCAUAGAAUGCUACUUCAUUUUUGAACUUUUCUGCUGGAGUUGAUUUCAUUUUGACAAGAAAUCUUUGGAGUGACAUUAUUUCUGAUACAUUUUUCUAACUUCACAUUGUCAUAUUUAUUUCAUUUCUCUUGUGUUGAACUCUUGAAAUAAAAAUGAAGCAACCGUAGAAUUUGGGCAUUGCCUUUACAUUAUGCCUUUGAAUAGAUAUCUGUUUUCAAAAAAGAAUUCUGGUUAGUGAAUAUCUUGUAAGUUACUUCAUCGAUGAUAUGGAUAUUUUGUUGCUUGUUUUUAAUUUUUCUAUUUUUUACUUCAUGCUGUAGAGUUUGAUAACGACUUUAUCAAACAUGCUAUAUUACCCACUUUAUCAAAUUAGCUAAUUUUAUUCCACAAACUAAUACUUGUCAUUAAUUAUACCCAUAAUAUCCUCCAGAAAACAUGUACAUUUUAACUUCUAUAUGUUUAAGUAUUUCCUUAAAAUUUAUUUUCAGUGUAAUUAAUUCAACUCAUUCUUUUUUCUUUUCAUUUUUGUGUUUUUAUUGCAAAAUGUGAUAUUUUUUGAUAUUUGAUUAAAUUUCUGUUUAUCUCACAAAAUAAAUUCUAAUUUUUAAUAAUUUUCUUCAUGAUUUAAAUUUAUUGCAUAUUUAAUUAAAAUUUCCUUGACUCGUCUACUAAAUAUUGAUCAACCUUUUAACAUUACCUUUUCAUUUUUUCUUCAUUUUUCAAUAAAAUCUUUCUGGUCAUCUUCAGGUGCCAUUUAGUAUUUUCUUCCUUCUUUUCACAGAUAUGUUUUUUGGAUUAAGAUUAAAUUCAUGAGGAAGUCAUUAGGUGUUACAUGUGAAUAUAUAUAUGUACCUAUGAAAGCAUGCAUGUAUGUGUAGCUGUGUGUAUGUGCAUAUAUAUAUAUAUAUAUAUAUAUAUAUAUAUAUAUAUGCAUGUAUCAUACAGAGAGAUUAGAUUUUUGUAAGUAUUAUUUUGAAAUAGAAAAAUAACACCAAACACAGAAAUUGUUACUUCAAAUAACUAAUUAUAUUAAAAAUUUUACUCAUUAAAAUAUGUAUAACUAGAAAAGCACUCAGAGAGUGCAGUCCUCCGCCAAGCAGCUCAUUUUAAGAUAGAUACACGAGUAAAAUUACUAAUAGAGACACGAAAAUAAACUUUAGAAACAGCAAUGCCACCAUAGGUUGCAUGGAAAUGAUGAACGUGUUUUCAAGGGAGAUAAUCAAAGAACAUUGUAAUACUUCAUGUAAAGUAAAUAUAACAAAUGAAAAAUCCUUUGAGAAUCCAUAAAAAUUCCCGGAUCACAACCAAAUUUUCAUAAUCUGUUCCUUAUGUCAUUACCAACUUUUCCUGCAAGUUUCAUCAAAUACCGUUCACAACCUUUUGAGUUAUUUUGCACACAGAUGGACAAACCAACACUGAUGAAAACAUAGCCUGCUUCCUUGGUGGAUUAUAUAUAAUGUUCGCUCACAUACAUACAUAGAUAUCUUUUACUUGUUUCAGUCAUUAGACUGCAACCAAGCUGAGGCACUACCUUUCAGUUUCCAUCUACCAAAUCUAUUUACAAGGCUUUGUUUGGCUGGGGGCCUAUAGUAAAAGACAGUUGUCCAAAAUAACAUGCAGUGGGAUUGAACCUAGAAUUAUGUAGUUGGGAAGCAAACUUCUUACGCCACAGCUACACCUGCACCCAUAAUGUUAUCUUUCUCCUUUACUUGUUUCAGUCAUUUGACUGUGGCCAUGCUGGAGCACCACCUUUAGUCAAGCAAAUUGACCCCAGGACUUAUUCUUUGGAAGCCUAGUACUUAUUCUAUCAGUCUCUUUUGCCGAACCGCUAAGUUACAGGGACGUAAACACACCAGCAUCGGUUGUCAAGCAAUGUUGGGGGGGACAAAUGCAGACACACAAACACACACACACACAUAUAUAUAUAUACAUAUAUACGACAGGCUUCUUUCUACCAAAUGCACUCACAUGGCUUUAGUCAGCCUGAGGCUAUAGUAGAAGACACUGAAAACGGAACCAUGUGGCUGGUAAGCAAGCUACUUACCACACAGCCACUCCUGUGCCUAUGUAUAUGUAUAUAAUAUUAGUACUUAGUAGACUUUGUGUGUGAAAAAUAACCAAGUGCUCAAUAUGCCUUUGUAUUGGACAUGUGUAGAGUCUGUAUUAAUGGUGUGUUGGUAAGCAAGAUUAUUUCCUCCGACCAAAUGACUUUGUACAGUUGACUAAUGUCUGGAAUAAUGGACAUGGAAAAGUAGACAGAGUAUUCAAAAGUAUUUUUGAUUGAUUGUGUGGCUGGUGGCUGGAUUGGUUUGUGGUGUUAUUGAUGAAAUUCUCUCUCUUCCUAAGUAUUAGCAGGUGAUUCAACUUUAGAUGUGAUCAGAACUGACCAACCACAUCACAAACCACUCAACCAAUCAAAAGGCACCCAACAACUUUUAAAUACCCUCACGACCAAUCCAUUUCCAUUAUUUCAGACUCACUGAUUGAUACGGUUGACUGAUGUCAACUGCACAAAACAUUUAGAUAGAAUCAAAUAAUCCACUUCACCAUCACACAAUAUUAUAUAUGUACAUGUGUGUGUGUGUGCGUGUGUGUGUAGAUAGAUAGAUAGAUAGAUAGAUAGAUAGAUAGAUAGAUAGAUAGUGUAUAUUUGCCUCCCCUGUAUUUUUAGAAAUAUUAUAUUUGUGAAGUCCUGCCAUAUUAUGUAAUGUUGUAAUGCAAAAUACAUUUCUUAUUGAACCCUGUAUUUGUUUAUUUCUAUGUUACAUGGAAGUCAAAAGGGUACGGGUGUAUUGGAAUUUCUGCAUUUGAGGGACAUGGUUCUAUUUAAUACGAGGGCUGCCUGCAUAAUGUAUAUGCAUAGAGUGAAGCGCUAAGAGCACCAUCCGAGUGUGAUCAUUGCCAGAGCAACAAACUGGCUUCCAUGUCGGGCUGGCACGUAAAAAGCACCAUUCAAGCGUGAUCAUUACCUGCAUCGCCUUACUGGCACUUGUGCUGGUGGCACGUGAAAAACCAUUCAAGCAAGGUCGUUGCCAGUAUCGCUGGACCCAGAAAGACAUGGAAUGGUAAAAUACUGAUCCCCGUUGUAUUUUAAAUGAAAGGCAAAACUAGCUGGUUUACUCAUUUUCAGCUACCAAAAACCCUUUUCUUCAUAUUAGGGACCUAUUUUCACAGCAAGUGCAAACAAGUUUACUAAACAUGGUAUGACACCUGGCUUUAUGUACAUAUCUAUCAUAUAUAUAUAUAUAUAUAUACACACACACAUACACACAAACAUAUACAUGCAUGCAUACAUACAUACAUACAUACAUACAUACAUACAUACAUACAUACAUACAUACAUACAUACUACAUACAUACAUACAUACAUACAUACAUACAUACAUACAUACAUACAUACAUAUUUGGCAUCUCAAUAGAUGAUUGGCUUAUACACAUAACCAAUCAAAGCUUAUUAAAAGCAAGAUGAAACUAAAACUAUUAGUCAUUUCCUUUGUAAUUAACAACUAAUAACUAAUCGCAGAAAUAUCAACUUGUAAUAUUUUUCUUUUCCGUGUAGAUUAUCUCAUUUUUGUGUCUGUUAUGGUGAAACAUUCACCAACACCAACUUUGGUUUUUUUAAUCCAUAUAUUUCUUUUAUCAAACAGAAUAUUAUUUGAGUGAGAAAGAUAAAUAAUUUCUACUUAAUCGUUUUUAUUUCUUUUCCAGGUUCUUGUUUGUCUUAUUUAUUUUAAUUAACAUCACUUUUAAUAGAUUUUCUUCUUGCUCCUCCACUAAUGUUCAUUAAUAUUCUCACUUUUACUUCAAUUGAUGUGGAUGGAAGUGGACUGCAUCUUUUAUAUUUGGUUCGUCUAAACUUCUGAUAUAAACUUGUGAAAGAAAACUCAUUGAUAUUUCUGUUUUUGAUUUUGUUUAUAAUUUAUUGACUUUAAACCUAUUUCAAUUAUUUUUGAGUUUUGGGUGUUUUUUUUUGUUCUUUUUUUCCUUUGUUUUAUGUUUUUCUUUUAAUAUUCCAGUUGUUUGUAGACACCAUUACUCUUUGGCAAAAAUAAUUUGUAUACACAUUUCUAUUACUGUUCUAAUUUCUGCUGUUUACCAUCCUGUUCAGCCUUGGUCAAGAAGACCUGUAGUCAGGUAUUCCAGCCAUGACCACAACAUCUUAUUUUCAGGUGUAUUGCAACAGACACCACAUAUUCAAUGUCUCCUUUAUGUUUUUUAAGAUAAGGUGUGGCAAUUGGCAAUUCAAGGAACAUUUCGGUGCUAUUUUUAGCAAGCUGAAUGUCCACAUGGUUGUCUCUUAUGGCCUCACAUAUCAUGUAUUUCUCUUUUCCCAUGUAUUAAGUAUCAUUUUCUUCUCAUAUGAAGUGUCCCCCUCUUUACUAUACCACCAAUGUCGUGUAUUUUUGCAAGCACAUCCAUUAUGAGCUUUCUAAAUAUAUGUAAACAAGCACAGUGAACCCUUAUUCAAAACUGAUUCAUCUAAAUUGGGAAUCAGACAAACUGGCCAGCAUUUGGCUUUUUCAAUUCAUUAUCAUUUCCUCAUUAAAACUGCAGCAAUUCAUUUUCUGAAGUGAGAGACUUCAUUUGCAAAUCAAAUCCCCACCAGGGGGAGAUGCAGUGCCACGGGAAUGAAGUACAAUGUGUAGAGAGACCCACAAAUAAAUUAUAGAACUCUGUAUUUGACAAUACAUUGAGUAUUUAAUUGAAAGUGGUCUUAUUUUUUUUAUACAGUCGUACAUAUCAUGCAUUGAUAAAUAUGGGCUACCUAUAUUAUAUAUAUGUGUGUGUGUGUGUGUGUGUGUGUGACUGUGUGUGUAUUGUUGGCAAUUUUUUUUCCUCCAUCUUCCCUUCCUUGGAUUUUUCCUUUUUCUAUGUUUCUGACGACAAGAUCUGCUCAAAACAUUAAAUCCUCCUUCUUUCUUUCCUUUCCUGAGCAUCCAAUAACACUAUACUUGUUCCACGUCCUCACAUUGUUGUGUUUUCCUGUUUGGAUUAACUUUAUAUAUAUAUAUAUAUAUAUAUAUAUAUGCUUACACGUUGUAGUUAUCAUAUAUAUAUAUCGUAUAUCAAUAUAUGUAAUAUUUAUCACAUAUAAAGCAGCAAGCUAGCCGAAUCAUUAAUAUACCAGACAAAAUGCUUCGUAGCAUAUCUUUCAAGUUUUAUGUUUUGAGUCCAAAUGCCACCAAGUUGACUUUGCUUUUGUAGGGUUGAUAAAAUGAAUACCAGAUGUGCUCUAGGGUCAAGGUAAUCCACUUGCCCCUUCCCUAAAGUUGCAAGCCAUGUACCAAUAUUUAUCAUGCCACCAUAUAUAUAUAUAAAAGUAUGUGUAUAUAUAUAUAUAUAUGAGCGGUAUUGGUAUCUAGAAGACCCAAAGAGUGGCAGGUAACACUAAGUAAGUGCCAUGGACAGGCUGUAGUUAAACUCUUGGUUCAAUAGUAAGGAGUCUAAUGUGGGUCUUGUAUUAGCAUGCAUAUAUAUAUAUUAGACAGAAUGAGACAAGAAAGCCAAGGCUGUGGGGAGUUUUCAGGACAUUUAUAAAGAGAAAGUUAGCCUUACAGCUGUUUCUGGGAUAUUAUGGAUAUCCCUUCAUCAGUGAUGAUGUGAGAUGGUUAAAAAGAGGGAAAUAUUUGAGCUCACUAAAUAGAGGUAAAUAUCGACCUCUAUUUAACCAUUUAACUCGUCACAGCCUUGGCUUUGUUAUCUCAUUUUGUCUAAAAUAUAUGUAGGCAUGUCAUGUGAUAAAAUGUUUGCUUCCCUACCACAUGGUUCCAGGUUCAGUCCUACUAUGUGGCAUCUUGGGCAAGUGUUUUCUAGCCUAGCCCUGGGUCAUCAAAGCCUUUUGAGUGGAUCUGGUAAACAGAAACUAAAAGAAGCCCAUUGUAUAAGGGCUGAGCUUAAUAAAAGAUAAGUACUGGGAUUGAUUCUUUUAACUAAAAAUUCUUCAAGGUGAUGCCACAACAUGGCUGCAGUCUAAUGACUGAAACAAGUAAAAGAUAAAAGUUAAACAUAUACAUAUAUUCUACGUUAUGUAUAUGUAUAUAUAUAUAUAUAUAUAUAAUGUGUGUAUUUUUCCCUUGUUUACUUAUUGAUCAUACCCCUUAUACACCCAUUAUAUAUAUAAUGGGUGUUUAAGGGGUCUGAUCAAUAAGUAUCCUGACUGUUGCCAUAGCAAUAAACCUAAAGCACACAGAGUAAAGCUGCUUGGCACAAAUUGACCUUGAACUCUGAUGUGCAUGUGCACUAAGUUUUAAUGUUCUAGCUCACUUCUGCUUUUUACAGAAGUGCUUGGAAGGAACGUGUGUAGCGUGUGAUCAUCACAUUGACCAUGACAGAGAAAGUUGUCAUGGCGACACCUGCUCAGAGGCCAACACAAAGUUGCAGAAAGUGUAUGGAGAGGAGUUUAUGAGUUACACACAAGUGUACAGGUGGUUCAGAUGCUUCCAACAUGGUCGAAAAAAUGUCAAUAGUGACGAAUUUUCUGGGAGACCUGCAACCAGCAAAACAGAGAAGAACAUUGCAGAUGUGCAUGCAAUUGCAAGGGGAAAUUGUCGAAACACCAUCUGUGAGUUGUCAGAGAAUGUGCAGAUUAGUUACGGUUCAGUUCAGUCCAUUAUCACUGAAGAUUUGGGUAUGAGACGUGUGUCUCCCAAGUUUGUGCCCAAACUGCUUUCAGCUAACCAAAAAGAUACUCGGGUUUCAGUUGCACAAGAUCUCCUUGAUUGUGUUAAGAACGGUGAAAACGUUUUGGAAAUUUUGUGUAGGCCUCUGAGCAGGUAUCACCAAGCUUUUGGCAAACUUUAAUGCAGAUUCUCUGCUCAACUUUCUCUGUCAAGGUCAAUGUGGCAAUCACACGCUACACACCUUCCUUCCAGGCACUGCUGUAAACAGCUGAAAUGAGCUAGAACAUUAAAACUUAGUGUGCAUGCACAGCAGAGUUCAAGGUCAAUCCGUGCCAAGUGGCUUCACUCUGUGUGCUUUAGCUUCGUUACUAUGGCAACAGUCUAGAUACUUAUUGAUCGGAAUACAUAUACACACAUAUAUAGAUAGAAGUAUAUACGUACAUACAUAUUUACAUAUACAUUACAUAUGCAAUAUUCUUGAUGUGAAAUUGAGUGUUGAAUCGGAUAUUGUUAUAUUUGGGGAUGGUCACCUUUUGCUAAUUAAACACACACACUAUAUAUUUGAUUUUCACUUUAGCUUUUCUAUUAUCAUUGGUAGUUUAUUUGUCAGAGUUCUUUUGUCACUUUUUCUAUGAUCUCUUCAGCAACUUUCUGUACCCCGUGUCUCCUUUUGUCUUGUGUAUCCCAUUUUAUUAUUUAUUGUAUAUACAUACAAACACACACACACACACAUAUAUAUAUAUAUACACACACACACAUAUAUAUAUAUACACACACACAUACACACAUAUAUAUAUAUAUAUAUAUAUAUAUAUAUAUAUAUAUAUAUAUAAUCAAAUAAGCAACAGCAUGUCAAGUGGUCAUAUUGCAUUAAUACCUGACAUCCUGUUACUUAUUUGACUUUAUUCACCUUACUUCGAGCUGUGCGGAUAAUACUGGACUGACUUGGUGCCUCGACUUAAGUACCAAAUUCAACUGAAUCUUAAUUAUUUCUUUUAUAUAUAUAUAUAUAUAUAUAUAUAUAUAUAUAUAUAUAUAUAUAUAUAUAUAUACACACACACACACACUACACCCCCACCCACUCAGUUGAGGGGUCUUGUCUUGCAAAUUACCAAGUGACCUUACUGAGUUUCAGUGCUAUAUAAAGAGCACCUGUAUACUUUGUAAAGUGGUUGGCAUUAGAAAGGGCAUCCAACCAUAGAAACCAGGAUGAAGCUUGGUGCAGUUCUCUGGCUUGUUGUCCCCUAUUGAAACAGCCAGCCCAUUCCAGCAUGGAAAAUGGACAGUAAGUGAUGAAGAGAAGGGUUUAUAUAUAUAUAUUUAUUUUAUAUAUGCAUUAUACUCUUUUUUUUUCUCAAUAAAAUAAUGUACCCGCCAAAUAGUGAGGUCAAUAUAAUCAACUAAACACCCACCUAUAAAACUGCUAGCCUUGUGCUGAAAUUAUAAAGAAUUACUAAUAUAGAUUUAUACAUAUACAUGUUUUUGUGUGUCAGUUGUCACGAUGUAAGCUUAGCAGUGCUGAUUUUGACUUUAUGACUGGUUUAUGUGUGUUUUUGAAGACCUGUGCCUGUUUAAGACCCUUUUGUGUGAAACAUCAGGUGAUGGCUUGAGAGUUGAAAACAAGGAGAGCACCUAGCCCCAAAAUUCUGCUUCAAAAUCAAAUUCCCAUCCAAGCCAUGCUUGUAUAAAAAAAAGAUCAGUCAUAAAAUGAUUGAACAGAACAAUUUACUCAAUUUUCUUUCCAUUUUGGUAAUCUUAGCUCCAUUCAAAAACCAUCUGAUAACAUUUUGGCCAUACACCAUGUUAAUAUAUAAUAAGGUAUUAACAAUGUGUGCAUGUGUGUGUGUAUAGCUACAUACAUAUUUACACAGGGUCUGAGAAUCACUGCAUGAGAGUAUAAGAAUAAGGAGAGGAGUGACCAUAAUCUUAUUACUAUGGAUUACUCGGAUAAUUUUCUGAAAGUAAUAUUUUCUUCUAGCUCGAUGAGCAAGUAAUAACAUGAAAGAUUGAUUUAGAGUGAGAUAGAAGCAAUUUCUCUAAUAACGAAUGUUUCAAGAAAUAAAAGGAUUCAUGUAUGUGGGCGAAUCUUUCCUUGUUUUUCUUUUGGAAAUUUAAUUAUUAAUUUCCUCGUUUUUAAAAUAUAAAGAAAAUACUUAUUAGAAUCAUCUUAUUAUUGAAAUAUUUUUCUUUUUAAAACGAAUGAUAAAAAUGAUAUCAAAAUUGAAAAACUAAAUCUAAGUCAAGAAUAUAUAUAUAUAUAUAUAGAUACAAAUUCCAUUGAUGUUCAUCAAAACAAAUCAAAAUAGAUGAACAUCAAUGGAAUUUGUAUCUUUGUGGUACCAGUGCCGGUGGCACACAAGAAAAUCAUCCGAACGUGGCCGUAGCCAGUACCGCAUAGACUGGCCUCCGUGCUUUGGGGACGUAACAAACACCAUCCGAUCGUGGCCGUCCGCCAGCCUCAUCUGGCACCUGUGUCGGUGGCACAUAAAAACACCAUCCGAGCGUGGCCGUCUGCCAGCCUCGUCUGGCACCUGUGUCGGUGGCACAUAAAAACACCAUCCGAGCGUGGCCGUUCGCCAGCCUCGUCUGGCACCUGUGUCGGUGGCACAUAAAAUCACCCACUACACUCUCGGAGUGGUUGGCGUUAGGAAGGGCAUCCAGCUGUAGAAACACUGCCAGAUCUGACUGGCCUGGUGCAGCCUUCGGGCUCCCCAGACCCCAGUUGAACCGUCCAACCCAUGCUAGCAUGGAAAACGGACGCUAAAUGAUGAUGAUGAUGAUGAUGAUAUAUAUUCUCCUUGUUUGAUACUGUUGUUAGGGGUUAGUCAACUGGUUAUAUGAUUCUGAGAAUAGAAAACUAAAGAUCAUAUUUGAAUUGAAGAGGAACAAAUUGAGUAUAAUCCACUGGAUUAUACUUUGAUUAUAACAUCUGAUAAACAGAAUCUGUGAAGUGAAUAGUUAUAAAAGCCAUUGGGAGAUAAAUGUUUUAACAAGAGUUGAUAGAUUUAGUUUAGCCAUGUCGUGUGAAUAUACAAUGUAUUCCUCCAUUUCUUAUGCUGUCAGGUUGAAGGGCGGCCCCUGAUGCGGAUUUCCUUGAUGAGUGGUAUGUGCUUGUUGUAGAAUUUUUAUGGGAGAAUAACAUAGGGGAUUUCUCAUUGCCUUCUGGUCAUAUAUUGUAUAUGCUCUUUGGGAAAUAGAAGGUGUUGAGAAAGAAAAGAACCCGGCAUAGAGUGAACCACGAAUAAAUAUUUAAAGAAGGUCUAAGAGACUUAAGCAUAUUAAAAAGCGAUCAAUGAGGGAUUCAAAGAUGUUUGAGAUGCCUGAGAAUAGGUCCUGUCAAGCUAUCUGAGCUCUGCUAUUAUGAAAUAAAAGGACAUCAUACAAAUAAAGAAGAAAAAAUACAACAAUGAUUAUACAAUUCUAUAUUUAAGAGAUGAGGAAUUAUUUACAUUAUUUACAUUAUUUACAUUUGACGAUAUUUGUCCUCAUCUUGUUUGUUAUUAACACAACAUUUCAGCUGAUAUACCCUCCAGCCUUCAUCAGGUGUCUUGGGGUAAUUUCGAACCUGGGUUCUCAUUCCUAAGGUAUUUUACAAUGUUAUUAUUAUUAUUAUUAUUAUUAUUAUUAUUAUUAUUAUUAUUAUCAUUAUUAUUAUUGUUCAGAUCACUGUCUGGAAUCAAACUCGGAAUUUUAGGGUUAGUAGCCCAUGCUCUUAACCACUACGCCACUUGAACAUUUAUAUACAUGACAGAUCAGUAGCCACUACACGCAUUUUUUUUUCUCUCCUUGUUUCUUUCUGUGGAAGAGCGUAGGCUCGAAACAUUAAAGAGUUUUUCAAUUCCCAAGCAUUAUACUAAUACAUCUGUUUGUUUUCUACACCACCCAUCUUCAUCUUUUGUUUUUUUUUGUGAAUUCUCCCUAUAUAUAUAUAUAUAUUGUUUCAAAUUAGUGUGAAUGUGUGUAGUGGUUGAGAGCACGGGCUACUAAUCCCCAAGGUUUCGAGUUCAAUUCCAGGCAGUGACCUAACAAUAAUAAUAAUAAUAAUAAUAACAACAACAUCAAAAAAUACCUUAGGAAUGAGAACCCAGGUUCGAAAUUUCCCCAAGACACCUGAUGAAGGCUGGAGGGUAUAUCAGCCGAAAUAUUGUGUUAACAACAAACAAGAUGAGGACAAAUAUCCGUCGAAUGUAAAUAAUGAACAAUGAUUAUGUUUUAAUAUGUAUAUAUGCAUGUGUGUGUGUGUGCAUGUAUGUAAAGGCAUGUGGCCCAUUGGUUAAGUUUUUGCAUUCAUGAUUGCUAGAUCAUGGGUUCAAUUCCCAGACUGAGUGGUGCAUUGUGUUCUUGAGCAAAACACUUCAUUUCUCAUUGUUCCAGUCCACUCAGCUGUGAAUGAGUGACCCUGCAUUGGACCAGCCUUCUGAUCAGGGUGGGGAUGUUGGCCUACUGCGCUAACCAGCAGGAUGCCAUCAUUCAGAAGCUAAAAAGUGAUAUCAAGUGCAUUGUAACUAGCAAUGUAUAACAUCCAAUAGGCCACCAAACUCUCUCUCUCUCUCUCUCUCUCUCUCUCUCUCUCUCUCUCUCUCUCUCUCUCUCUCUCUCUCUCUCUCUCUCUCUCUCUCUCUCUCUCUCUCUCUCUCUCUCUCUCUCUCUCUCUCUCUCUCUCUAUAUAUAUAUAUAUAUAUAUAUAUAUAUAUAUAUAGGGUUUAUUUAAAUGUGUAAAUCAAAGUUUGCAGAUUCAGAUAAUUCUCAAUAUCAUUCAGUCUUUCUACCAUUUUGUAAGUUUGUUUUGUUUUUUUCCAGUUAUUCAAGUGUCAUUCAAAGACUGUUAAUGUAGACACAGAUAUUAUGAGUUUUCUUGAACAUCUAUAUUGAAAGCCACUUGUACAUUUAUACAUACAUAUAUACAUACAUACAUAUAUAUAUAUAUAUAUAUAUAUAUAUAUAUAUAUAUAUAUAUAUAUAUAUAUAUAUAUAUAUAUAUAUAUAUAUAUUGUUUUGAAUGUGUGUGAAUGUGUGUAGAAUAAUAUAUCAGUUGAAUAAAGUUAAAACAGUCUGGUUUUCAUGUUUUUUUAUUAUCGUAUUUUAACAAAAUUAAUGCUUCCAUACAUAGUGUAAUCAUCAAAUUUCAAAUGUAUUUAACUGACAGGAGAGUUCUUGACAACUUUAGUACCUCUUAGAACUCUCCAACCAGCUGAAUUUUUUGAAUACCUUUUUAACCAAUCCACAUACUCUUAAACAUCAUGGUUUGCCAGGUAUACCAAUAUUUUGUAACUUGUUUAUAUUUAUUCAUCCACAUCUUUACCUGGUUGUUAUAUUAUUGCUGUUAUUUCCGUUCAGAACCGGUUUGAUCAUUUUAAUGAACCGUUUUUCGUUUAUCUUUCUUCCAACUUCACUUGUGUCUUGUAGUUUGUGGAAAGGAAAAAUUAGAAGCAUUUUUUGACCACAUGUCUCUUUAUGUUCAUUCAAUGGAAUUUGGUGGACAUUGGAGUUCCAGAUAUGUUGUCUGUGGAUUCAUGAGUGUUCCGAUAAUGCAUUCCCUGUCUCGCCUAUAUAUAAUUCCUUGCAAUUUGGGCAUUUAAUGCAGUAGGUAAAAUUUCUGCUUUUGCAGUUCAUAUUUGUAUUUGCGAAAAUCUGUUCUAAUGGAUCUACCCGUACACAUGUAGGGACAUAUUCCACAUCUGUUACCAUUACACAUGGAUACUGUGAAUGUGUUCUCUCAUUUGUUUAUGUUGAAUUUUGCCUUUGUUAAUAGUUUCUUAUUUUUUUACUGCCCACAAGGGGCUACACACAGAGGGGACAAACAAGGACAGACAAACGGAUUAAGUCAAUUAUAUCGACCCAGUGCAUAACUGGUACUUAAUUUAUCGACCCCGAAAGGAUGAAAGGCAAAGUUGACCUUGGUGAAAUUUGAACUCAGAAUGUAGCGGCAGACGAAAUACCGCUAAGCAUUUCACCUGGCGUGCUAACGUUUCUGCCAGCUCACCCCACCUUUGUUAAUAGAUCCUUCAGGUUAUGUGGUGGCCUUUUGCUUAAGUUAAGUGUUUGAUUAGUUAUUAUGUUUUUUUAAUUUUUCACUUUGUUUUAUGAUUGGCAAAUUUGUUUUGAUGAUGUUUAAAAUGUUUUGGUGAUGUAGAUUGUAUGUUACUAGAAAUGGUAUUGUGUUCCUUUGAUGGGUUUGUCUUUUUUUUGUUGCUCUAAGUUGUUCUAUAGGUAUCUCUUUUGCUCGUUGUAUGCUAUUUUCUAUCAGUAGGGGAGGGUCAUUUUGCUUGAGCAGAAACCCUUUGAGUUCUAUAAGUUGUGUGUUUCUGGUAUUUGGAUUAUCGACUAUAAUACAAAUUUUCCUGGCUAAACAGUACGGGAUGUUGUGUUUUGUGUGUGUUGGGUGGCAUGAUUUGAAAUUUAGGUACAGGUGUGUAUCUGUGCUUUUGUAAUAAAUAUCAGUUGAGGUUGUGAAGUUGUUUUUAAUUACCAUUUGUCAAGAAAUGGGAAUCGUGUGUUGCUCAUUUCUCUUGUGAAUUUGAUACCAGGGUUUAGAUUAUUGAGGAGGGUGCUGAAUUCUUCCAGAUUUUCUAGGGAUUUGGUCCAAAUUUGGAAACAGUCAUCAAGGUAUCUUUUCCAUGUAUCCUCGAUAUGUCUUUUAAAGGUCAUGUCGUAGUUCUCUUAUAUCCAGAGAGACAGACAAACAGAACAGAAAAAUUGAAAAUCUUUGGUACAGUAGUAUAUAUUUGAUAAAGGAAUAAGAAUUAAUUUUCAGAUGAUUUUUUUCAUCUUUGAUGAUUAGAUGUUCAUAAAUCAUAUUGUGACUCUGUUUUCCUUCCAGUAACCAGAGGUUGUUUCUUACAAGAAAUAAAACAAAAUGGUGGUGGGGUCUCUGAUUUGGGACUGGGUUUCUUGCUUAAAAGCAAUUUCAAACAGUUUUCAUUUUUUUGGUGGGUAUCAGAGUUCUUUUCAUAUAGUCUUAAUUUUUCUGUUUGAGUGUUGAUAGAGGAGUUACAGACCUAUACAUAUAUAGACACACUCUAUACACAAAUACACAAACAAAUAUAUAAACAGAUAUAUGUCUACAUACACUUUUAUAUACAUGCAUAUAUAGGAAUUUUUUUUGCGAAAUAAGAUAAAAUACCAAGGCUGUGUAGAUAUUAGAGCAUUUAUAGAUAGAAGGUCUUACAGCUGUUUCUAGGAUAUUAAUUAAUAAUAUUCCUUCAUCGGAGACAGUGUGAGAGGGAAAAUUAACUUUGACUUCAUUUUUCCUCUCACACCGUCUCUGAUGAAGGAAUAUUAUUAAUAAAUAUCCUAGAAACAGCUGUAAAACCUUCUAUCUAUAAAUGCUCUAAUAUCUACACAGCCUUGGUAUUUUAUCUUAUUACGCAUAAAAUUCUUAUAUACACACUCUGACAUGGAACCAACGUUGAACCCCUUAUUCGCAAUGUUACCAAAUCUUGAACUUAACUAUGGUCUGUCUAUAGCACUUAUUCAGCAUUAGCAGACACCUUUGGGUCUCAAUGACACCGUUAUCUCUUACAUGCAUUAUAUAUAUAUAUAUAUAUAAAGGAUUGAAUACAAAUUGAGAUCAGUCAAAAUCCUCAUAAUCAUCAUACAUCCAUUCUCAUGCUGGCAUGGAUUGGAUGGUUUGACAGGAGCUGGCAAGGCUGGAGAGCUGCACCCAGCUCCAUUGUCUGCUUUGGCUUGGUCUCUACAGCUGGAUGCACUUCCUAACACCCAGCUGAUAUUAUGUUCAGAGAUCCACAUGGAUUUCCAUGCUCCAGUCUGCUUCCAUUGAUUAAAUAACAACUAUUCUUAGUUGUAUGUAUUCUAUGAAAUUCAGAGGAAAAUGUAGGAAAAGUUGAGAUAAACACAAGUUUAUAUUAUUAAUUUGUCUGUACAUUUCACCAUUCUGGUGCUUGGAACCCUUCACUGAAUGUUCCGAGUGCAUUUGGUGUGUGUGUGUGUGUAAAUGUAUAUAUAUCAUCAUCAUCAUCAUCAUUAUCAUCAUCAUUGUUUAACAUCUGCCUUCCAUGCUGGAAUGAGUUGAACAGUUUGACAGGAACUGGCCAGGCAGGAGCCUGCACCAGACUUCUAUGUUUGUAUAUAAUAUAGAAUGUGGGUGGGGGGUACAUACAUACAGAGAGUGAGAAAUAUCCUAUCAGAAAUUAAAUGUGUCAAAUGACAAAAAUUAGAAUUAAAAUGAAAAUAGAAAACAAAAUUAAAAUAAAUACAAAAGUAAAUAUUUAUUGCUGAAAAAUAAAUAAGUAAAUAAAUUUAAAAUAUGCUUACAAUAAGAGAGGAGGAAAUUGCAGUUGUGGAAGAAGACAGGAGAAAGAGGAGCCCAUAGAAGUUAAGAGUAGAAAGAAAGAAAGAGAGAGAAAAACUAGGAGAAACAUUUGUGUAUGUGAUGUAGUGUUGUUCUGUGGUGCUGAUAAUAGUUAAGCAGAUGGGUGGAAGGGAUUAGAAAGGAAACAGGAGGGAAAUGAAGCAAAUGGGGAGACCAAAUCCUAAACACGGUCACAGUAAAAAGUUGAUUGAAAUAAAGACUGACUGAAUUCAAUAACUUGGGGUAGAAAAAAGAUGCAUGUAAAGAUAUUCAUAGCAAAAGUGUGUGUAUAGAAAUAAAUUUGAAUAGAAACAAAUGUAAAUAGAAAAUGUUGUGUGCAUUAAAAAAUGUAGUAUUUCUAUAUAGAGGCACCGUAUAAAGUCUAUGAAAAUAAGAUGGGCUCAGCUUAGUUUCUAAAUGUAUUUGAGUAGAACAAAAAUGUGUUUCUAUAUUAGAAGCUUCUUCUAUAUCUUCACCAUAAGUUUCAUUCAGAUGGCAAAACAUUACGCUACUAAUUCUCUCAUUAGUUAUUUUGUUUCUAAAUGUAUCUGUUUUCUCUGUAACUCUCAUCUCUGAAUGCUUUCUCUAAUUUUGAUUUGUUGAUAAAUGGAGAGGAUGGAUCUGAUAAUUUACUGAAUGUCUUUUUCUCUUUUCAUAAUAUUUGUUUUCUUGUGGAAUUAGGAUGGCAGCAUAUAAAAUAUUAGUGGUGUAUUUUGGUAAUCCUUUUCUGAAUUUUAUGCAUAUGUCUCUCUCUCUCUCUCUCUCUCUCUCUCUCUCUCUCUCUCUCUCUCUCUCUCUCUCUCUCUCUCUCUCUCUCUCUAUCCCUCUCUCCCUCUCUCUCUCUCUCUCUCUCUCCCUCUCUCUCUCCCUCUCUCUCUCUUUCUCUCUCUCUCCCUCUCUCUCUCCCUCUCUCUCGCUCGCUCUCUCUCUCUCUCUCUCUCUCUCUCUCUCUCUCUCUCUCUCUCUCUCUCUCUCUCUCUGUCUUCCUUUGAGUUUUGUUUAAGUUCCUCUUAAAAGAGUUCAAGCCAGUCACUAGUAAACAAACAAAACUGUUUGAGUUUGGGUAGAUAUGUGGCAGUGUUGGUGUGUUGGUUGAGCUGCCACUGCUCACACCCAAGUGUGUGCAUCUAUUCACCAAAAGAAUCUCAGAUGGAGAAUCUUUGGAAUGCCUUACAAAUCUUCCUUCUGCUACUAACAGACUGGAUGAUUCAAAGAAUCCACAUCAGCUUCUUUUGCUCUUUCUUCAAACAAACUUGUAUUUCUAAAUUUUUGUGUAAGUUUCUUGGUACACAACUUAUAGAUUUGUGGGUACAUAUAUGCAUAUAUUCGUGUGCGUGUGUAUAUAUAUAUAGGUUAUGAGAGGUAAUGGUGUCAAUAAGCCCCAAAGGUAUCAGGUAAUGCUGAGUAAGUGCUAUGGACAGACUAUAGUUAAGCUCCAGGUUCGGUGAUUAUGCGAAUGAGGAGUCCAACGUAGGUCAUAUAUCAGCAUGUGUAUAUAUAAAAAUUAUAUCCCUUCAUCUCCAAUGAAAGGAUAUAAUAAAUAUUUCAGAAACAGCUGUAAGACCUCCUAUUUAUAAAAGUUCUAAAACCUUCACUGCCUUGGUUUUUUUAUCUCAUUCUGAAAAAAAAUAAUUUAUAUAUAUACGAGUGUGUCAGUUGUUCUUCACCACGUUUUGUAGAGACCCCCUCCCCGCACUCUUUUAAAUAGUUGUCAUGGUUAGUGCCCACCUAAGUGAUGAGUGACGUAUCAUGACUAAACUAACUUAACGUGAAUGAUGAUUUAUAAAUUUUACUCUAAAUAAGGAUUGUAUAAGCUUUUAUCAUUGAAGUCAUAAAGAAUGAAUAAAGACAAAUUUGUAAAAUUUACUUAAAACAUCACAAGUUAAUGAUUUCCUUUGCCUGAUGAAAUCUCAAUUUUUUUUAAUGACUAUUACUAGUGUUAUGAUCUAUAAUGUAAUUAAUACUAUAGGUAAAAUUUAGCAUGUUAAUUAUGUUCCCUCACCCCCAAAGCCAAACUCCCCCCUUGACAUGCCCAGUACCCCCUUGGGGCUGGUACCUCCCACAUUGAUAACUUCUGUUAUAUGUAGAUAUUAUAUUUGUUUGGGGCAUGCAUAAGUGUUGAAAAAUAUUGAAAAAUAGAUUUUGCUGAGUAAUUAUCAAAAUAGGAGAUUGGAAAAAUAUUUGGUAUUAUUUAUUCGGCAUUACAUGUGUUUCAUUUCCCAAUAGGAGUUACAAAGCUGUACCUUUAGUACAAACAUGUAGGACAUCUUCAAUUAUAAAUUCCUCAAACAGAGAAUGUUCUACAUGUUCAUUCUGCAGGUUUGUAUCUCCAAUUGGCAACUGAAAUCUGAGUAAUGCUGAAUAAAUGAUACCAAAGUUUGUUUUUUUUCCAUUUCCUGUUUUGAAACAUCAUCAUCAUCAUUUAACCUAUGUUUUCCAUGCUCGCAUGGAUUGGAGCAUUUGAUAGGAGCCACACCAGAUCCUAUUGUCUGUUGGGCAUGGCUUCUACAGCUGGAUACCCUCCUAAUGCCAGCUGCUUUACAUUGUGUACUGGGUGCUUUUUACAUGACAUCAGCACCAACAGGGUCACCAAGUGCAUUGCAAGACAAAACUCUUCACCUGAGUGGGGUGCAUAGUAACCUACUGGGUGCCAGUUGAUUUAUAUAUAAACAAAAUACAACAGGGUAUGAAAAUAUCACUUGCUACAUACUGAGCCAUUUUGCUCUCAAACCACAAAUAUACGCAUUCCUUACUUCCGUAGUUCAUACAAGGUAAGCGCAUUUCUGCUAUGUUUAAUUCUGAGUAAUUUGUGGUUUUAGAGCAAUGGCUCUGUUUAUAGUAAGUGGUAUUUUAAUACCCUGUUGUAUUUUAUAAACAUUUUACCUAUAAAGGCAUAAACUUGCUGACCACUUUAUUAUUAUCAUUAUUAUUAUUGAUAAUGGUAAUGAUAUCUAUUUAACUUUAAAUUAUAUAUAUAUAUAUAUAUAUAUGUAUGCAUAAACUUGUGGCUAAGCUAGAAGGCACUUGCCCAUAGCAGGAUUGAAUCCAGAAAUAUAUGAUUACAAAACAAAUUUUUUAAUUCUGUUAAAUGCUGCAGGUAUGGCUGUGUGGUUAAGAGGUUUGCCUCCCAACCACAAGGUUUUGGAGUCAAUCCCACCAUAUGGCACCUUGGCCAAGUGGUUUUUUUACUAUAGCCUUGUUAGUAGAUUUAGUUGACAGAAACUGAAAGAAGCCCAUUGUUGGAGACAGGUAAGGACUGGCAACAGAAAAAUCAUUCAGCUACAGAAAAUCUGCCUCAGUAGACUCGGUCCAAUCCAGGCAAACAUGGCAAAGUGGACUCUAACACGAUGAUGAGAGUCAUUUCUGCCUGACUGGUAUUAAUUCAUCAAGUUAAUGAGGAUAAAAGAGAAAGGCAUUGUGUUCUACUAUAACUCCAACCUGAUCAAAGGCUUGUAAAUGGAUUUAGUAAAUAGAAACUGAAAGAAGCCCAAUGUAUACAUAUGUGUGUAUAUAUGUGUAUGUAAGUGUGUGUGUGUGUGCAUCUCUUUGUCUUGACUUCACAUAUUAGAUGUAAAUGAGUGUCACUGUUAUACAAGCAGUGCCGUACAUUUCUAAUAUUCAGUGAAACAUCUUGAUAUGGAGAAAUAUUACUUUAUUUGGAUACAGGUGAGGGUUGGCAACAGGAAGGUCAUCCAGCCAUAAAAAUCUGCCUUAACAAAUUCCAGCUGACCCAUGCAAGGAUGGAAAAGUGGUCAUUAAGUGAUGAUGAUGAUGAUCAUCAUCAUCAUCCUUUAAUGUCCAUUUUCCAUACUAGCAUGGGUUGGCUGGUUUGACUGGGGACUGGCAAGUCGGGGAGCUUCACCAGGUUCCAGUCUGAUUUGGCUUGAUUUCUACAGCUUGAUGUCCUUCCCAACAUCAACCCCAUUACAGAGUGUGCUGAAUGUUUUUCAUGUGGUGCCAGUACACAUGCUUUCUACAUGGCAUCAGCACAGGGCCCUUGCAGGCCAUUCCUUUCCAUCAGCAGCCAGUGGCCUUAACACUUCUGCUGUGGAGGACAGGUCCUCCUGAGUACAAUGAUAUCAAAUACCAAAGAAGAUGAAUUAUUGGUUUGUUGAAAUUAUUUUUCCUUCAAAAGAAGAGCAAACUAUUGCCUUGUUGCAUGAGAAGAGAAGGAUCACCUCAAGGGUCAAGCAGGCUCCAAAAUAGACAUUAAAGAAAAGUCCAGUUGGAUUGUUUGAGAUUAGGAAGACAGCUAUGGGCUCAUGCUUCUGUCUCAGUUAUUUAAUGAAGCUGGUUAAUUGCUUUUAAAAUUAAUGAGCAAUUAGCUGUAAUACAACUCUGAAGCCAGAUUAGCAUGACACAAUAUGUAAUAAAGUUGGAUUCUUAAGUUGCUGCUACACUCUGUCUGAUAAGCUUCAGCACAGUGUGUGUCUGCUUACUUGCAUUGGUUAAUCCAAAGCUAGGUAGGGGCCACUUGCCUAUACUGUGACACUGUGAUAUCAAACCCUGAACUUCAUAUUACAAACCAAACUCAGCCAUAACCUUCCAUUUAGCCAUGUCUGGUGAUUGUUGAAUUUGCCUCCCCAGUUUCAGCAUGAAACCAGUUGAUUACAACAUAAAUUGGUUGCCAUGGGACUGUAACAUAUUCUUUAAGUGGUUACACUUACUUGCGUGUGGUCAUGUUAAGGCAGUAGUUUCUAUAACAGAGUCAAUUACACUGACCCUAAUUCUGUUGACCAUGGGGGUGGGAUAAAAUGCAAAAUGGGCCUCUUUACUUUCUAUAUUCCAAGGGUUUUGAACAUAGAAAGUAAAGAGACAUAAUCGGAAUUGCUUCGGUGUUGAAUGGAAUAUCUUGUAAUAUUUUCGGUCCAGUUCCAAAGCAGUGGGCUGACUCAGUCAUUGGAAUACCAGCAAAAGGUUUAGCAGUACUUUCUCUAUCUUUACAUUCUGAGUUCAAAUUCCUCCAAGGUUGACUUGGCCUUUCAUCAUUUUGAGGUUGACAAAAUAAGUACCAGUUAAAUACUGGAGUUGAUGUAAUCGACUUACCCCUCCCCCUCCCCAACUUACUGGUCUUGUGCCAAAUUUUGAGACAAAUAUUUCAUCAAAAGCUCUGUAAAGAUUCUUCACAUGUUUGUGAAGGUGUGUUGCCAGUGGUUUAAGUGUAGAACUCACGGUCAUAAGAUCGUGGUCUCAGUUCUUGGACUGGAUGGUGUGUUCUUGAGCAAGACACUUCAUUAGACACUGCAGAAAGCAGGUUCAACUCUGGCUUUAUGGGUCCUGGGGUUCAAGGUUAACAUAACCUGUACAUACAUAUCCAUGCAUACAAACACACAUGCACAUAGAUAUGACAAUAUACACACACACACACACACACAAAUAUAUAUAAGGAGUAUUUAUAAAUAAACAACACAUACAAAUAUACUCAAGCACACACCUUACACAUACAGAGAGAUGGACAAACCUACAUAUAUAUA
rnacentral:lncRNA from 1 species